AUUGAUUGAAUGGUUAUCCUUGAUCCUUUAGGUUGGUGGAGCAUGAUCCCCGAAGAGGACUCUGAUUGGGCACCAAAGGGGGGCGGGCGCCCUGGGCCAGGCCCCGUUCUGCCUCCGCUUCGUUUCCGUGGCUUCUGGAGUCUUCUAGAUGAUAUAAAAUUACCGCACACGUUAAUAUCUCUAUGUAAACCCGACGUGCGGGGCUUUCCUCCAUAUUUCCUGAUAACCCCCUGCAGAAAUAGACAAACACCAAAACUCGUGUAAUUCUGUCUGGUGAAACCCUAAUUUUGGAUGUUGGUUGCAUAUAGGUCAUUUUCCAUGAUUAGUUGACGGUUAAAUGUGAGCAUUAAGGACCAUCAACAAGCUCCCCCAAGCUUAACCUUUGCUCGUCCCUGAGCAAAGCAAAAAUCAGCAAGAAAACAGAGGUUACUUUUAUGCCUCUUACUAUAGGGUUUUUAAGUUAUCACUAAGGUCUUAAGUGAUUAAAAAACAGAACGAUCAAGUCAAGCACUAUGUCUCGAGUUCUUUUGUGUUACCUUUGUUCUAGAGUUUUUUGUAAGUUCCCAAAAUAAAACUGAGGCAUUUGCCUUCUUCUCAAAAGAUAUAUAAAUAAAGCUUUAAAAGUUUUAGCAUACUUACUUUGCAUUUUGCUAUGUCAAUACUCGGAGCAAGGGAGAGGAAUAUCAUACUCCUAGAUCAAGACCUUUGACCUUUUUGAAAAGUUUGUCAUCUCUUACUGGCAUAUUGCUUAUUAGAGGGCCAUGGGCUAUCAUUUUUUUCUUCUUUUUUUUAAGUGGGCACCAAGUACCCCUAAUUCUCCUAUCGGACACGUGUCCACUUUUCCACUCAGGUGGGUAUCUUUGUACCCCUAAUUCUACAUCGGACACUUGUCCAUUUUUACCUCUCGUCUCACUCUCUUUUUUUGAAUCAAAUUUUUGCAUAGUUCCAUGCCUCUAAUUCAAUAAUUCUUCAGUAGAGUGAAUCUUUUAUAUUUUUAAAAUAAAAAGAUCUUGAUCUUUGGAGCAUGAUAAUUCUCUCAACCAAAACUACAAGAAUUAACAAUGGCUUGAACAAAGCAUGUGGCCACAGUUUUAUCUUAUAAGACUCUAGGUAUUAUGUCAAACUGGAUCUCAUUCAAUUUUUUUAGAUUUUCAAAAGAUAAAAUCUCCAGAACUCUAGCGAAACUUGGAACAAGUUAAAUAGUAGCUCAGACCUUCUCAUAUCAUGUUUGUCAAUUACCUAGACUUGGAUCAAACUUUCUUUUUAUUUUAUUUAAAACUUAGGAUUACACAAAACUAUUGUAUAGUACUCAAAAGAAAAACAUUGUUUGGUUUCAUGGUUAUGCAUUUUAUUUAGUUAUUUAUGAAUACUAGUAAAUAAAACCAAGAAAGAAAAGUAAUACUUAUCUAGAUACACGUUGGGGUGCCUCCCCCAAGCUCGAUGUUGACAUAGUCAUUCACUCUUGUGGCCUGCACGUUCGGUCUCACUCUUCUUAAGUCUCAAAAUCCUGCACAACCCAAAUAGACAACAAAACUCGUGGAGCAUAUUAAGGGUUAAGUAAUUGUCGAGAGCUUAUGAGAGCUUAAUGUGAGAAUUCUAUGAACUCAAUCACAUCAAGUUCCUCUACCGGGUUGUUUUGUGGCUCGAGAUAGAUUUUCAAGCGUUGACCAUUUACCUUAAAAGUGUUACCUAUGUCGUCUUGGAUGGUAAUGGCUCUAUGAGUUGAAGUGUCAAUAACCUUGUAUGGUCCAUCCCACUUACUUCGUAGCUUACCGUGCCCAAAGAGCUUAACUCUUGAAUUAAAUAGUAGAACCUUAUCUCCAGGCUUAAACUCCUUGUGCUUGAUUCUCUUAUCAUGCCAUCAUUUUGUUCUCUCUUUAUAGAUCCUUGAAUUGUGGUAGGCUUUCUCUCUCCAUUCUUCUAGCUCAUAUAGUUGCAUCAGACGAUUCUCGCUAGCGAGGUGGAGAUCCAUGUUCCAUUUCUUGAGUGUCCAAUGAGCCUUAAACUCUACUUCCACAGGCAAAUGACAACUUUUUCCAUAUACAAGUUGAUAAGGCGACAUGCCUAUGGGUGUUUUGAAUGCAGUUCUAUAUGCCCAAAGUGCAUGAGGAAGUUUGUCCUUCCACCCCUUACCCAUCUCAUCUACGGUCUUUUGUAAAAUAUUUUUGAUUUGUUUGUUAGAUGUUUCGGCCUGACCGCUAGUCUGAGGAUGGUAUGGUGUUGCGACAUUGUGUAGAACUCCAUGAUCGGCUAGGUACUUCCGGAGGAUUUUGUCGAUGAAGUGGGAACCUCCAUCGCUUAUAACUAUCCGGGGUAUACCAAAGCUAGGAAAGAUUACUUCAUGGAACAUUCUCUUGGCAUGUUUUGAAUCAGCUGAUCGACAAGGUAGGGCUUCUACCCAUUUGGACACGUAGUCCACAGCUACUAAGAUAUACUCACAAUUCUCAGACAUAGGGAAUGGCCCCAUGAAAUCAAUGCCCCAUACAUCGAAAAGUUCUACUUGAAGAUUAUUUGUGAUAGGCAUUUCAUUUCGUGAGUUGAUAUUCCCAUGUUUUUGACAUCGGUGGCAUCUCCUGACAAAGUCCUUUGUAUCUUCAUACAUCGUUGGCCAGAAAAAACCACUUUGCUAAAUUUUAGCAUAUGUCCGGAAUGCUCCAUAGUGUCCUCCAUAUGGUGAGGCAUGUCAUCUUUCCAUAAUUUGAGUAGCCUCAGCCAUAGGAACACACCUUCUCAAGAGUCCAUCAGCGCAGACUCGAAAAAGAUAUGGCUCAUCCCAAAGGUGGAAACGACUAUCGUGAAGCAACUUCCUUUUGUUUGUACUAGGUGGGACAUAGCCUUUUACUAUAAAGUUUACGAUGUCUGUGUACCAUGGAUCUGCAUGUGUUAUCUUAAGCAUGGUGUCAUCCCUUAGGUAGUCAUUUAUGGGAAGCUCAUCAUGUGUUUCCUUAUAUUGAAGCCUAGACAAGUGGUCGGCUACAGAAUUCUCAACUCCCUUCCUAUCUCGGAUUUCUAUGUCAAAGUCUUGGAGUAGAAGAAUCCAUCGAAUUAGACGAGGCUUAGCAUCUUUCUUAGUGAGGAGGUACUUGAGAGCAGCAUGGUCUGAAUAGAUGAUUAUCUUCGCCCCCACUAAGUAAGAUCUAAACUUGUCUAUAGCAAAGACAAAAGCCAAAAGCUCUUUUUCAGUUGUAGUGUAAUUGAGCUAUGCUCCAGACAAGGUUUUGCUAGCGUAGGAUAUGGCAUAAUGCUUUUUAUCCUUGGUUUGUCCUAAAACGGCACCAACCGCAAAAUCGCUAGCAUCACACAUGAUCUCAAAAGGAAGAUUCCAAUCAGGUGGUUGGAUAAUCGGGGCUGAGAUGAGUGCUUUCUUAAGAGUUUGAAAAGAUUCAUGACACUCAUCACUAAAGAUGAAAGGUGCAUCCUUAGCUAGGAGACUAGUUAGGGGUCUAGCAAUUUGAGAGAAGUUCUUGAUAAAGCGUCUAUAGAACGCUGCAUGUCCCAAAAACCUACGGAUUCCUUUCACAUUCGUGGGAGGUGGAAGUUUUUCAAUAACUUCAAUCUUUGCUUUGUCCACCUCUAUACCACGUUCAGACACUUUAUGUCCUAGCACUAUUCCUUCCUGAACCAUAAAAUGGCAUUUCUCCCAGUUUAGGAUUAAGUGCUUUUCUUCACAUCGCUGCAAGACUCUAUCUAAAUUCUCCAAACAAUGAUCGAAGGUUUUACCAUAGACGGUAAAAUCAUCCAUGAAAACCUCCAUGAUCUUCUCAAUCAUGUCCGAGAAAAUAGACACCAUGCACCAUUGGAAAGAAGCUGGAGCAUUGCACAAUCCGAACGACAUUCGUCGGUAUGCAUAAGUUCCAUACGGGCAUGUAAAGGUAGUCUUUUCUUGGUCAUCUGGAUGGAUUGGGAUUUGGUGAUAUCCAGAAUAACCAUCAAGGAAAUAGAAGAAAGAGUGGUUUGCAAGCCGUUCCAACAUUUCAUCAAUGAAGGGUAACGGAAAGUGAUCUUUCUUUGUAGCCUUGUUGUGUUUUCGAUAGUCAAUACACAUACACCACCAAGUGACAAUUCGUUGAGGGAUGAGUUCAUUCUUCUCAUUCCUCCUUUCUUCGGCACUACUUGGACAGGGCUAACCCACUCACUAUGUGGCACAGGAUAAAUAAUCUCAGCAUGAUAGAGUUUGAGGACCUCUUUCUUAACAACCUCUCGCAUAGCAUUGUUAAGUCUCCAUUGUGGUUCCCUUGAAGUUGUAAAAUUGGGAUCAAUAGAGAUACAAUGAGUGCAGAGAAUGGGACUAAUGCCCGUGAGAUCUUCGAGAGAGUAGCCAAAUGCUGAUCUAUGCCUUUCAAGAACAGUGACAAGUUGUUGUGUUUCAUAAUCGGAAAGCUUGUCACUGAUAAUUACUAGAGUUUUUGGGUUGUUGUGCAAAAAGACAUAUCUAAGGCCAGAAGGAAGAGGUUUUAACUCUAUCGAAGGAGGUGAAGGUUGUUCAUUUUUGUCUAGCUCAAUGGGUUCUACCAACUCUUCUUCUUGUUGAACAAAGUGUUCAUGAUUAAAGAAUGGUUGGGCCAUCUCCUCUUGAGUCAGCAUUAAGAUCUCCUCAAUAGGAUCUAGUUCAAGUUUGGGUUCCACUAUCGUGUUAAUUGAUCUAGCAAGAGGAACAACAAUAGUGGAAUUCCCAACCUUGAAGUCUAAAUGACCUCGUUGUGGUUGUUCUUGUAGAAGUUUCAUGAUUGGUCUGCCAAUUGUUGACAGUCCUUAAGUACUAAAAUUAAUAAUCAAAUAAUCAUGGAAAAGGAUCAAUAUGCACCAAACAUCUAGAAUUAGGGUUUUAUCUGACAGAAUUCCACGAGCUUUGGUGUUUGUCUAUUUCUGCAGGGGGUUAUCAGAAAAUAUGGAGAGAAGCCCCCCAUGUCAUGUUUACAACGAGAUAAUUACGUGCCGUGCAAUUUUCCUCAAUCUAGAAGAGUCCAGAAGCCACGGGAACAAACAGGAGACCGAACGGGCACGGGGGCUGGGCGCCCGCCCACCCCCCUUGGGCGCCCGCCCUGGCUAGGAUUCCAAUCAGAACUCUUUUCAGGGACCAAGCUCCACCAACCUAAAGGAUGAAUCUAAACCAUGCAAUAAAGGUCGGUUUCAUCCGACGACCCAGAUUCACUUGAAAGGACUAUAUAACCAAGGCCUCUCCACCCCUGGGGGAGAGAAGAAAAGAGGAGAAAUCAUUAUCAGAGGUAGCCAUCAAAGAUAGGGUUGAGAGCUUCUCUCCCACAGAGAAUUAGAAUUAGCUACUCCCUAAUCCUUCAAGUUUAGAGGUUUGAUUAGAUAGCAAUUAGAGAAGUAGAGCACUACGCUCUAGAUUCGGAUCUUCGGUAAUAAAGAUUGGUAUUAUUAAUAUCUUUCUCCAAUACUUUGUUCUAAUUGCAUUAUGUCUCUAUUUAUUAUGUUCUUAGUUUGCUCUAGUUCUAUAUUUGAUAUAGUUAUGAUUGAUAAUGAGUUUAUGUAUAAGUUUGCAAAGCGCUUAGCUCUCGACACGAGGGAGUUAAGUGGUAGAUCACAUGUGGGUGUGGUUCUUAGAUGUUAUUUACGUGCAAAUGUAUCCUAUUGGCCGGGUCGUGUGGUAGUUCGCGAUAGUGACAGCUUCGUUGAUUCUUAUAUAGUCCACCCUCCGUUGAUAGGACAAGCAGAAUUGGUAUUGCGGAGUAAGUCUUGCGAUGUUCUGGUUUACUUUAGCAAUGUUCCUUAUACAUGAAUGAAGAGUCUUUUAUGCUAUACAUGAUCUUGUAGAUAACUAGAGUAGAUUAUGACUUAGUAGAUAGUAGAUAACUUAGAAUCCAUUCUCUAGCUAAUCCGACGUCACCUACAUAUAUGAGUAGUCUAUUUUCUAAUCGCUGUGUUAUUUACCCAUGAACUUACAAUUCAUUAUAAUUAUCUUUAUGGUUUACCCCCUGCCAAAGUAAGUGACUGUGUGACGAGUUUCUCAUUAGUAAUCAUGUUCUUGCAAGUUUAUCUCUAGUCUAUGCCUUGAUAGAUUUUGUCCUUAUUUUAAUUUCAUCCCUUUUGUUCUCUUAAGCAAAAUUAUAAAUAACGAUACUUGGAAUACUUAUCCUGAUGAAAUGCUACAAUGAGGUGUUUUAUCUGUGCGCUUGCUGAUAGAAUAGAUUAUUUUCUAGAGGGCCUUUACAUUUAUAAAUACCUUUGUACAAUCUGGCACCAUGCUGGAGACGACAACCUAGUAUCUAAGUGGUGUUAGCUAGUGUCAACAAGCAUUUCUGGCGCCAUUGCCAGGAAGCUAAAGGGUAACACAUAGGAACGGUAAGGAAAGUCGGGAAAUCAGUCAAGGUUAUUCAUAUAAAAUAUUAGACUAGACUAUAGAGAAAUAAUUGCAUAAAACAGCUACUAAGUGAGAAAUCAUAACACGCCACCUCUGCUUUGGCAGGUUCACCCUGUUGUUUUUCUAUGUUUAUAUUUUUAUACAGGGUAUAUCAGGAUUGACUUUGGGUACAUUAAACUCUUCAUCAUCAGAACCAAAGCAAUCAAGAGAAGAAGAAGCUAGCUACCAAUUGCUGAAGCUAUGGCACAGAAGACCCUGUUGAUAUUUGGGAACGCAAUAAGGAAUUGAUCCGCAAGCGCACGGAUAUCGGUGAGCACUUCACCAAGGAGGUUAUCCAGAGUAUCGUAUUUAUUUUUUUACCACUAGGAGAAAGAGUGCAUCUGACUAACCUGGUCUAUUACUACAAACCCUUUAGGCUACAAAGAAUGUUUCUCGAUGUGAGUGAUAAAUAGAGAAGACUACAACCGUAAUCUCCUUCUAACCUUGGUAAGGAUGAUCUACUGUUCUGUUGGGGAGGCUAACGGAAUCUAGACACCACAGAGGAUGUUCAACCCGCACCUAUAAACCCUAUCUUUCCUACUAACGAGAUAUGGUCUGCAAAGGUAACUCGGAAUUGUCACGUUCCUCGCUACUACCAUGGUUUAGCUAGUUAGGGAAUAUCUAUGAGCUAGUAUCCUAGCCUAAACAGCACGUCUACGCUAGAGAUGAUUACUCUAAACUCUAGGCGAAGAGAUUAAAGUAAACUCAUAAACCAAAAGAACAACAAAACAAGAACUUACUAGAAUUUAAAAGUUGAAAUACUGAAGAAUCCUAGGAGCAAGCUUCGGGUUAGGAGAACUUGAUCCCGUAGGUACAAGGUCGGAGUAGACACCGACAGGCCGGGCUUCCUCCGAUCUACACCUCCACUCUAUCUCUCUCAAUCUAGUAGAAACUAGAAGAUCUAUUUCUACUUACAUUGGUUGCUAAGCCUAAAAAGAAAUUUUAUUUAGAGGAGAGGUUUUCCUUCGAGGGCUCCUCUCAACUAUAUGAUGAACUUGUCUCCUCUAGGGGCCAGGGGGUCUGGUUUUAUAGUCCCCUCAAGUGAACGUGAGCCGUUGGAUCAAACCGACAUUGAUUGGAUAGUUAUCCUUGAUCCUUUAGGUCGGUGGAGCAUCGUCCGUGAAAAGAGUCCCGAACCAAGUCCAGAGGGGGGCAGGCGCCCAGGUCAACUUGCCGGGCGCCUAGUGCCUGGCCCCGUUCGGCCUCCGCUUCCUUCCCGUGGCUUCUGGAGUCUUCUAGAUGGUAGAAAAUUGCACGGUGCGUUGAUAUCUCUAUGUAGAACCGACAUGUGGGCCUUUCUUCCUUAUUUCCUGAUAACCCCCUGCAGAAACAGAUAAACAACAAAACUCGUGGAAUUCUGUCAGAUCAAACCCUAAUUCUAGGUGUUGGUUGCAUGUUGGUCCUUUCUCUUGUUUAUUUGAUAAUUAAAAUUGAUACUUAAGAACCGUCAACAAAUACCCCCAUACUUAGGCUUUUACUCGUCCUCGAGAAAAGGAUGGUUGAGAACAUUAUCUGGGGUAAAACAUUUUAAAACAUUCUCUUCAUACCUGCAGGGUGUUAAAAUCCACUGUGUACUAUAGUCAGGGAAGUAUAUGGUGAAGAGUAGAGGUCCUUUCUUCUCAAUCCUGUCACUUGGAGUUUUUGUAUAUUUUUAAAAAGAAAGUUAGCAUAUCUUUUAUCCUCAUAGGUUCUCUCAGAUCACUCAUUAUCUUUUAUAUAUCUCACUGAGGCUGUUUAAAUUUGCAAAAAUUCUCAAGCAUACUUACCUUGCAUUUAUUGCCUGAUCAAAACGGGAUCCGAGGAGAGGAAUGCCAUACUCUUAGAUCAAAGACUUUGGAAAUUAAAAUCUUUGUCAACUCUUGUUGGCAUAUUGCUUAUUAGAGGAACCAUGGGCUAUCAUUUUCUUUUUUUUCUCUCUUUUUUUCUAUUCAUUUUUGAAGUGGAUACCGAGGUACCCCUAAUUCUACUGCUGGACACUUGUCCAUUUUUUCUGCGAGGUUAUCGAGCACUUGCUCCUUUUUAUUUCCUCGAAAUAUCCUUAUUUUUGCAUAGCCCAUGCCUCUAAUGCAAUAAUACUUCGGAAGAGUGAAUCUUUCUGAAUAAAUGUCUUCAUCUUAGGAGCAUGAUAAAUCUCUCAACAAGGGUCUAACUCAUUUUGAAUAAACUCAAUACAGAGUAGAUAGCUUUUAUAAUCAUAAUUAAUAUUUUCAGUUUUAGUAGGGAUGUAAAACACUGAGGAUGGUAGCUAGAAUUUUGAAGAUUUUGAAAUAAAUUCUCCAAGCAACAAUGAUAUCAAGGAUAAGAAGCUCAUACUCUACCAUCUCACAUUCCAUAUUGACUUAAGUAACACAAGGUUUUUAAAAUGAUUUUUUUCAAUAAUUGGAAGUUUCAGGAAAUAUCACAGAGUGAGAUUAAUCAUGACUAGAAACAUUUUAAUCUUUUUAAUUUAUCUUGUCGGAAACAGUAUUCUGCAUAAUCCAAGAUAUGUGUAUGUGUAAAGUGUGCAGAGUGUGUACCUGAAUCGUGGAGUGGUGUAGUCGAAGUGUGUUUGGCAUGUCGAGAGAUCUCCCCCAUACUUGUUUUCUGCUUUCUUGCACAAAGAUAAAGUAGAGACACACAAGACAUAAUAAUAAUAAUAAUACUCUUUAUUAAUCUUGAGGCAUUUAUUACAAAUAACUAGUAGCAAACUGACGAUAAUAGUAGCAAACUGACGAUAACAGUAAACCUAAACCGAAUUUAAAGAUAGAUAACUAAGAUGCAUUGCCUCAAGAUCUAAUCUAGAUAACUUAGCGGCGCUCUAAUUCCUUGAUCUUCUUAUUGGCACUGGCAAGAUCCUGCCUAAGGCAUAGUAUAACGGUGUUGUGGUUAGAGAGCUGCCUAGUGAGGGAAUUAACCGAGGACUGGAGGUCUAAGAUAACUCUGUCUAGCCUGUGAACGUCCUCAUCAAUAUCUACUAUAGUCUUGCGACGCUUAGGAGGUGUCUCAAAAGCAUUGAGAGAAUGCUUCGGGGCUGCCUUUGGAGGGAUGAAACGGACUUUGGCUGCUCUAAUCCCCUCGAAGUAAGGCCUUUCCUCCUCUGUAGUGUAGCGAAUGCUGUGGAUCUCGCCGCUCCAGUUGGUAUUGACUUCAACGACCCUCUCAUUAGGUCUAGGUAGAAGGAUCCUCGUGAAGGUUGGCACUUUGAUGGUGGUCUUCGUCUUCGAUGAUGAUCCCUUGAGAAGUAGGGGUUGUGGCAGUGCGGUAAGAACUGGUUGAGCAUGGUAGGAUUGGGUGGAGCUGCGUUGGCGUAAUGGCAUGGCUUCUAGCUGUCGCUCUGUGUUGGCCGGGACGAGAGCACGGGCGUCGGGGUCUUCCGCAGGCUCCAUGUUGAGGUUGAAGGGGACGACUUCCCAAUCAUCGUGGAACUUCUCGGCCAUUGGAGCAGCGAGGGGCUAAUCAAGCUCUAAUUGAGAAAGAAGAGAAGGCUUGGGUGGAUUGGUGUUUGAAAACUGAAGUCAGGGGUCUGUUUAUAUAGGGGUCAAAAAGUGCCUCUAGGGGUUCUUCGGGUUGCUCCCGUCGAUGUGCGCGAAAAACUUUCCAUCUGAGGGAUUAUUCGGAUUACCAUAAGUGUUGUUUCCAUAACUGAGAAAAUCAGGACCGAAGGGGAACAGGGGCUGGGCGCCCGCCUACUUGAUCAUGGCGCCCGCCCUCUCUCUGUCUCCUCUAUGGGCCCCCUUCCUUGAGCGUGUUUCUAGAUGCAAAACUUUUUAGGAAAAUAUAUGUAUGCCCCAAAAACGUCAGAUUAAAAAGGUCGGGCUCUAAUUCUCCAUGGGAAGGAAAAAAUGGAUUACGCCUAUUUCUUCUAAUUCUUUAUUGGGCUCUAAAAAUAAUUUAAAACAUUGACCAUUUACCUUGAAUAACGUACCUUCGUCAUUUUGAAGUGUGAUAGUUCCGUGGGAUGAUGAAUUGAUUACCUUGAAUGGUCCUUCCCACUUACUCCGGAGUUUUCCGUGCUCGAAAAGCUUCACCCUGGAAUUAAAAAGUAAUACCUUAUCUCCGGGUGUGAACUCCUUCUUCUCGAUUCUCUUGUCAUGCCACCUUUUAACUCUUUCUUUGUAGAUCAUCGAAUUGUGAUAUGCUUUCUCUCGCCAUUCUUCCAAUUCUCAUAGUUGCAUUCUUCUAUGAUCUCCAGCAACAUCUAGGUCCAUAUUUCAUCUCCUUAUGGCCCAGUGUGCUUUGAACUCUAGUUCAACAGGUAGGUGGCAAGUUUUUCCGUACACCAAUUGGUAUGGGGACAUUCCAAUUGGGGUCUUGUAUGCUGUCCGGUAUGCCCAGAGUGCAUCGGGUAACUUGUCUUUCCAUGUCGUUCCCAUUUCAUUUACUGUCUUCUGAAGAUUAUUCUUGAUUUGCUUGUUGGAAGUCUCUGCUUGGCCACUUGUCUGAGGAUGAUAGGGAGUAGCGAUGUUGUGACGGAUUCCAUGUUUUGAUAGAUAUUGCUUGAAGCGUUUGUCGAUGAAGUGUGCUCCUCCAUCACUUAUCACUGCUCUGGGGACUCCAAAUCUUGGAAAUAUAAUUUCUUCAAACAUCCUCUUUGAACUGAUGUUGUCGGCAUGCUUGCAAGGUAGUGCCUCUACACACUUGGAGACAUAGUCAACUGCCACCAAGAUGUACUCACACUUCUUUGAUGGGUGAAAUGGACCCAUGUAGUCUAUUCCCCAGACAUCAAAGAGCUCAAUCUGAAGGUUGUUGGUGAGUGGCAUGGCAUCCCUUAUGUUAAUGUUUCCGUGCCUUUGACAUGGCCCACAUCUUCUGAUAUAUUGCUUCGUGUCUUCAUACAUUGUAGGCCAGUAGAAUCCACAAUGCCAGAUCUUUGAAUGUGUAUGGAAUGCUCCAUAAUGACCUCCAUAUGGUGAUGAAUGACAUCUGUCGAUGAUCUUCCAUCCUUCCUCGGUGGUCACACAUCUCCUGAGUAAGCCAUCAGAGCAUACCCAAAAGAGGUAUGGCUCAUCCCAUAUAUGCGAACGACUUUCUUGAAUAAGCUUCUUCUUGUUUGCUCCUGGUGGUACAUACCCUAAAACCAUAAAAGUAACAAUAUCUGCAUACCAGGGGUCAGACCUGUUAAUCCCGUAGAGCAUGUCGUCCCAGAGUGAAUCAUUGAUGGGGGUUUCCUGUGGACUCUUAAAAUACAUUCUAGACAAGUGAUCAGCAACAGAAUUUUCUACUCCUUUUUAUCUUUUAUUUCUAAAUCAAAUUCUUGGAGUAAUAACAUCCAUCUAAUCAGGCAAGGUUUAGCAUCUUUUUUAGUGAGCAAAUAUUUUAGUGCAGCAUGAUCAGUGUAAACAAUUAUUUUAGCUCCAACUAAAUAGGAUCUAAAUUUAUCAAUGGCAAAGACAACAGUUAGAAGCUCUUUUUCACUGGUUGCAUAAUUAAGUUGAGCUCCUGUCAAAGUUUUACUGGCAAAGCAAUUGCAUGAUGCUUCUUAUUUUUAGUUUGUCCCAAUACUGCCCCCACAACAUAAUCACUAGCAUCACACAUAAUUUCAAAAGGCAACGACCAAUCAGGGGGUUGAAUGAUUGGUGCAGAGAUGAGUGCUUUGUUUAAUAAAUUAAAAGAUGUUAGACAUGCAUCAUCAAAUUCGAAAGGAGCAUCCUUGGCUAGCAAAAGAGUAAGUGGUCUAGCAAUAAAUGAGAAAUCUUUUACGAAUCUACGAUAAAAACCAGCAUGGCCAAGAAAGCUUCGAAUUCCUUUUAUAUUCACAGGUGGAGGUAGUUGUUCAAUUACUUCAAUUUUAGCUUUGUCUACCUCAAUACCUCUUUCAGACACUAGGUGUCCCAGCACUAUUCCUUCCCUAACCAUAAAAUGACAUUUUUCCCAAUUAAGGACUAAGUGCUUUUCUUCACAUCUUUGCAAAACCUGGUCUAAGUUUUCAAGACAACUAUCAAAACUUUUUUUCGUAAACAGAGUCAUCCAUGAAAACUUCCAUAAUCUCUUCAAUCAUAUCAGAAAAUAUAAACAUCAUGCAUCUUUGAAAAGAAGCUGGUGCAUUACAUAACCCAAAAGACAUUCUACGGUAAGCAUAAGUUCCAUAUGGGCAUGUAAAAGUGGUUUUGCUUUCAUCAUCGGGAUGGAUCGGGAUCUGAUGAUACCCUGAAUAUCCAUCUAAGAAACAAAAGAACGAAUGGUUCGCUAAUCGCUCUAGCAUCUCAUCUAUGAAAGGUAAAGGAAAAUGAUCCUUUCUUGUGGCUUUGUUCAGUUUUCUAUAGUCUAUGCACAUCCGCCAUCAUGUGACGGUGCGUUGCGGAAUUAGCUCGUUCUUUUCAUUCAUAAUAACAGUCAUGCCUCCCUUUUUAGGCACAACUUGAACUGGGCUUACCCACUCACUGUGCGGCAUAGGAUAUAUAAUCCCUCCAUGCAGCAACUUUAUAACUUCUUUUUUAACUACCUCUCUCAUAGUGCUGUUAAGUCUACAUUGGGGUUCUCGAGAAGGUGUAACAGAAGGAUCUGUUGGAGUACGAUGGGUACAAAUCAUAGGACUGAUUCCUGUAAGAUCUUGGAGUGAGUAGCCAAAAACUGAGUGAUGUUUGUCAAGAAUGGUCAUUAAUCGUAGAGUUUCCACCUGAGUGAGUUUAUCACUAAUGAUCAUAGGAAACUCUCGAUUAUUGUUUAGGAAAGCAUAGGUAAGACCGGGUGCUAAAGUUUUAAGCUCUAUGGGGGGUCUAGGUGUUUCUGCAAACUCAUCCAAUGGUUCAGGUUCAGAAGGUUUAGCUUCUUCUUCUGUGAAGAAAGGAGCUUCAUCUUCUAAGUCUGAUUCAUCUAAAAGCUCUAGAGAUGCAGCCUUUACCUCCUCCAUAGGAUCAGGCAAAAGAUAUGACUCGGCCUCAUUGUUUAAGGAGUGUGAGAUUGUUAUUGAGAUUUUAAAGGUUUUUCCAAAAGAAAUGUGUAGCUUUCCAGUAUGACCUUCAUAAAGGAGUCUUCUAAAAGGUUGUCCUAUCAACAAGUCGAAGUCCCAUGUAUCAAAGAUAGAGAAGUUCAAAUGAACCAUAGAGCCUUCUACCGUAAGAGGUAGGACAUUAAUAAUUCCAAGACUGGGGACUAAUCGUCCCGAAGAUUCCUUUAUGACCUUUGUUGUGGGGGUUAAGACAAAAUUUUUAAAUAUUUUAAGUGCAAAAGAUUCAGACAUAAUGUUGAUCCCCACAACAGGAUUAUAGAGAGCAUCAAAUCGAUCAGAAUCAUAAGCACAUCGUAUAGUUAUAGAGGCUGUGUCCAAACAAAUCACAUCAGAGGAAAGCUCUGAUUCCUCCAACCACUCGCUACUCAUGACUGAGAUAAGCUCUCUCAAUUGAUGUUCACUUGGUAAAUAAAUGCUAAACUGGCCGUUUUGGGGUCUAUUAAUAGAAUGGUAGUUUGAAAUGUUUCCAAAAUCGGCAAAAAGAUCAGAUUCUAUAUCCAGCAUGAAGUCCGGUGGUGGAAUUUCUUCCUUUUGUGGCUCAAAACCUGGGAUAGCUAAAGUAGAUGAAGAAUUUGGCAGAGUGUCUACUUCGGCUUCAUGGGUUUCAUCAUGAAGGGUAUUAUCCAUCUCAGCUUCUAGGAUUCUAUCUAGCAUCACUCUAGCUUCAUCAGUAGGGAUGCGAAAGAAACAACCUCUAGACAUUGUAUGUCGCAUUUGUUUAUGAUCUUUCUGAAGACCUCGAAAAAAGUGAUAUAAAAGAACAGGGUCUUCAAGAUUAAGGUUUGGACUAGAUUCUAAAAGAUCAGAAAAACAUUUCUAGGAUUUUCCUAAAGUUUCAUUAUCUUUUUGUUUAAAAGAUAGGACUUCGAGUCUAAGGUCGCCGAUACGGUCGAGGGAAUAAAAAUCUAGACAAAAGUUGGCUCGUAAAACUCCCCAUUCACCUCGUUGUUGACUUACCUUCUGACUGUACCAUUGUCUAGCUUCUCCCCGUAAAGAAAAAGGAAAAAGCUUCCAACUUAAAGUUUUAUCAGAAAUGCCUUCAAUGCGAAGACAAUCACAUGUUUGCUCAAAAUCUCUAAUAUGAAGGUAAGGGUUUUCGUCUUCCUUUCCCGAAAAAGAUAGGUUUUGAAUCAUGGCAAUCAACCUAGAACUUAACUUAUACUGGGAUGUUUGGAUAGGCUGUGAUGAUUCCCAAGGUAAAAGGUCAGUUACUGAUGGGAUUGCAGAUUCAUGGAUCGAUUUAGAAUUUUGAUUUUCCAUAAGGUAAGAAUAAAUAAAAUAAAUAAAGAAUAUAAAAGAUAAGAAAAGAUAAAAGUAUAGAUACAAGCUAGUAGUAAGACUCAAGGUUAUCUCAGCAAACCGUCUUUCUCCCCGGCAACGGCGCCAGAAAUGCUUGUUGAUAUUUGGGAACGCAAUAAGGAAUUGAUCCGCAAGCGCAUGGAUAUCGGUGAGCACUUCACCCGGGAGGUUAUCCAGAGUAUCAUAUUUAUUUUUUUACCACAAGGAGAAAGAGUGCAUCUGACUAACCUGGUCUAUUACUACUAACCCUUUAGGCUACAAAGGAUGUUUCUCGAUGUGAGUGAUAAAUAGAGAAGACUACAACCGUAAUCUCCUUCUAACCUUGGUAAGGAUGAUCUACUGUUCUGUUGGGGAGGCUAACGGAAUCUAGACACCACAGAGGAUGUUCAACCCGCACCAAUAAACCCUAUCCUUCCUGCUAACGAGAUAUGGUCUGCAAAGAUAACUCGGAUUUGUCACGUUCCUCGCUACUACCACGGUCUAGCUAGUCAGGGAAUAUCUAUGAGUAUCCUAGCCUAAACAACACGUCUACGCUAGAGAUGAUUACUCUAAACUCUACGCGAAUAGAUUAAAGUAAACACAUAAACCAAAAGAACAAUAAAACAAGAACUUACUAGAAUUUAGAAGUCGAAAUACUGAAGAAUCCUAGGAGCAAGCUUCGGGUUAGGAGAACUUGAUCCUGAAGGUACAAGGUCGGAGUAGACACCGACAGGCCGAGCUUCCUCCGAUCUACACCUCCACUCUAUCUCUCUCAAUCUAGUAGAAACUAGAAGAUCUAUUUCUAUUUACAUUGGUUGCUAAGCCUAAAAAGAAAUUUUAUUUAGAGGAGAGGUUUUCCUUCGAGGGCUCCUCUCAACUCUAUGAUGAACUUGUCUCCUCUAGGGGCCAGGGGGUCUGGUUUUAUAGUCCCCUCAAGUGAACGUGAGCCGUUGGAUCAAUAACAUUGGUUGGACGGUGAUCCUUGAUCCUUUAGGUCGGUGGAGCGUCGUCCGGGAAAAGAGUCCUGAACCAAGUCCAGAGGGGGCGGGCGCCCAGGUCAACUUGGCGGGCGCCCAGUGCCUAGCCCCGUUCGGCCUCCGCUUCCUUCCCGUGGCUUCUGGAGUCUUCUAGAUGGUAGAAAAUUGUGCGGUGCGUUGAUAUCUCUAUGUAGUCCCGACAUGUGGGCCUUUCUUCCUUAUUUCCUGAUAACCCCCUGCAGAAACAUAUAAACAACAAAACUUGUGGAAUUAUGUCAGAUCAAACCCUAAUUCUAGGUGUUGGAUGCAUAUUGGUCCUUUCUCUUGUUUAUUUGAUAAUUAAAAUUGAUACUUAAGAACCGUCAACAGACCCUACAAGAAUUCUCUGCUCCAAGUCUUGAGAACAUUCCAACUGGUCCAAGAUUUGCAGUAGAAGAAUUAGUACCUGAGUUUGAGCUCAAGUCAAGCCUCAUCAAUUUGGUACAAGCUACACAAUUCAGUGGAAUGGCACAUGAAGAUGCUAGUGCACACUUGCAGAACUUCUUAGAAAUUGGAAGCACAAUCCAUCUCAAUGGAGUUGACAAAGACGUCAUACUGCUUCGCCUUUUUCCAUUCUCACUAGAAGGAAAAGCGAGGAAGUGGUUCUACACUCAUCAAUAUAAUAUCAACAACUGGACGAACUUGUCAGAUGCCUUUCUAUCAAAGAUUUUCCCUAUAGGCAAAACAACUACCUUAAGAGGAAAUAUUGUCACUUUCCAACAGCAGAAGACAAAAGCCAUUUCAGAAGCAUGGGAGCAUUUUCAAGGAUACAUAUCAGAUUGUCCUCACCAUGGAAUGGCCACAUGGUUACUUAUGCAGACCUUCUACCAUGGAUUAACCUAGAAGGCUCGUGAGUGCCUAGAUGCAUCUGCUAAAGGAUCAUUCUUGGAGCUUACAAUUGGAAAAGCAUAGAUACUUUUGGAUAAGAUAGCAGAAAAUCAAAGCUGGUUCCAAGAUGAAGCUCAACAAUGUCAUCAAACUGAAGAAAUACCAGAAGAAGUAAAUGCAUUAUAAACCAAGAUGGAAAAUUUGGUCCAUUGGAUUGACCAGAGGGUCAAGUUCAAAGAAGAUCAAAGGGCCAUUGAGACAGCAUACAAAUAUCAAACCACUUCAAGUCAACCCAAUAGCAAAGGUAUGAAUUUAGGUAAUACUUUCAAGCAACUUUCAUUAAAAGAGAUAAUUGCUCAACAAAUGAAAAUUAAUGAUGAAGCUAAACAAAGGCUAGAUACAAAUGAAUCAUCUCUAAAAGAUAUACACAAUAAAAUGGAUUUUCUAUUAACUGCCUUUGAUGAGCAAAACACUCUUAAUAAAAGGGUAGAGCUUAAAUUACUAAAGUUAGCUGCUACACUGCCUGUUGCUACUAACAUUGAGCAGGUAAAGAACAUAACUACUAGAGGAGGCAAAGCCACCAGAGAUCCCCCAUACCCAAAAGAGAAACAAAGAACAUCAGCACCAGUGCAACCAGCAGUGAUAGAAGAAGAAAGCCCAGUUGAAGUAGAAGAUCUGUUGCAACCACCAAGAACUAUAGAAAUGAGGAAAGAUUUUUAUGACACCCACUAUUUACCAUUUCCCAGAAGAAACAGAGGAGUGUAGUCGGAUGAGCAGUUUGGUAAGUUUGUAGAAGUCAUUCAGAAAUUAUAUGUCAACAUACCUCUGCUUGAUGCCAUACAGGUACCUACAUAUGCAAAGUACAUCAUAGAUAUUCUUAACAAGAAGAGACCACUGCCCACCACUGAGGUUAUCAAGCUGAGAGAAGAAUGUAGUGCGGCCAUCCUCAAUAAACCACCAAGAAAGAAGAAGGAUCCCGGAUGUCCCACUAUUGAUUGCUCGAUCAGAAGCCAACACUUCAACAAUGCACUUUGUGAUCUCGGAGCAAGUGUCAAUGUGAUGCCAGCAUCAGUCUACAAAAAGCUUGAGCAUACGACCCUAUAACCAACAUCAAUGUGCCUACAACUAGCGGAUCAAUCAGUUCGAGACCCGCUGGGCAUCACCGAGAACAUUCCAGUCAAGGUCAGAGAUUUCCUGGUGCCAGUAGACUUCGUGGUACUGGACAUGAGUCCUGACUCAAAAGUAUCCAUCAUCCUUGGAAGGCCAUUUCUGAGCACCGCCAAUGCCCACAUUGAUGUCGGGAAAGGAGAAAUCAAGUUCAACAUAAACGGACAAGAAGAACACUUCACAUUCAAACCCAGACCAGAGAGAGACCCUACAGUGAAGGAAGUUAAUAAAGAACCACUGGAGACACCAUCUCUGGAGGAAGGUAAAUCAGAAGAUUAAAAGAUUUGGAGGUCCAGCUUGGGGGACCUAAAAAUCCCAAACCCUCACCGGGAGGUAAAUCGGUAUUUAUCCACAUUGUUUAAAUUCUUUCAUAAUUAAUUCUUGCAUUGGUCAUAUUUAUUCAUAGCAUUAUUAUAAUAAAAAAGCCCAUAUAAAUAAUAUUUAUGGUGUGUAACAACCCAUAUUUAUUAAUUAUUAUGGAGGCACAAAAAUAUUUUCCAUUAUCAUUUUCAAUAAGUUUCAAUUCUCAUAGAUUUUCCUGCAUUAUAUUUAAUUAUAGCAACCUUCUAGAAGCAUGACCCACACUUCUUGGGUCCAACAUAUCUCCACUCACCAGCACUUUUCCACCGACCAACCACCACCAUUGAAUUAUUUUUUGGCUUAAAGAUUAAGCAAGGGAGGGAGUGGAGAAAGGGCAGCCAGAAUUGGCACCACAAGUGGGCGCCCGCCCACCUAUAGAGGGCGCCCGCCCUGUCCCCUCUUCCUCCUAUAAAUAGCCACCUUCUACCUCCAUCUUCUUCACACAAGCAUUCUAGAAAAACACGCAAGUUUCAGUUUCCAGUGAAGGAGGUCUUGUAGUGAUGUAAGAAGAGUGUAGAGAGAAAGAGAAGAGUGGGAAAGAAGUUGGUAGUUUUUGAGUGAGAGAGUGAGUUUCACCUAGUAAGAAGUGAUCCCGUUGUCCAAAGCGGAAGUAAAAGUUGUUGAGGGGAGGUUCUGCCAAAAUAAAAACUUGUCUUGAACAACUAACCCCUGGACUACUGACAUUUAGGACAGCUGACCACUAACAUUUUCUCUCACAUUUUCCACUAGUUGUGUUUUUGUCAACUUUUGUUUACAGGAUGUUCAAGAAGGUGAAGAACGCAGGGAAGGCUCUCAAGAACAUAGGUACAAGGAGUUCAUCCCGACACUCCUCUCACCCGUCAGAGAUGAGCGUCGACCCAACGCCCACACAAGCUCCGUCAUAUUCAUCUGAUCAGCAAGUCAAGGUCCUUCUCAAGAUAGGAGACCUUGGACUAAAGACCCACAGGGAAAAGGAAGUCUACCAGCAACUGAAGAACAAAGAUUUCAUUCACACCCCUACUCUUGAUCCAAUCUUGCUACAAGAAACAGGUAUGGAUACUGAAUUCGACUUAAUUUUCCAGAUGUUAGGUUGGACAAAUUUUUGGAAUAUAACUGAGCUGGGUUCUCAUCUUCUCACCCUUGAAUUUCUUUGCACUUUACAAUUUUAUCAGGGGGGAAUUUUUUUUGAUGUUCAAACAGGAGAUUAUGUUGUCUUGGAGAGAACUGAGCGACCAUCUUGGUUUCUCUUCAAGAUGCAUCCUAAACAUUGAUUCCGACCUACCCAAUUUUGAGAGACACCAGUUCUGGAGAGAGAUAUCUAGAGAUAAUUUUUAUUAUCAAGCCCGAACCAGUGACAUGGAACACCACACUCUUAGGAUGUUCCACAAAUGGCUUGGUACAAUCUUUUCUAUCGUAAUGAUAUUAGAAAAGUAAGAGUAGGAGAUUUACAACUUUUAUAUGCUGCUAUUAAUAAAGUACCCACUUCACCUGUUACACUUUUGGUUUCUCAUUGGCUUAGUAUACCUAGUAUUCAGGGACUUGUAGGAUGUAUUUCACUUAUCACUCGUCUAGCCUCUAGUCUUCAUUUACUAGAAAACUCGUCAUUGGAAUUCAUUCAUGAGUUACGGAUUUAUCAUGGCUAUGACACAUUUAGACAAGCUCGGAUGUUAAAGAAAGAGGGGAACAUAAUGUAUAUGCUAUAUGAUAAUAAAGGCAAGAUUUGGUUACCUAACCCGAACCUUGGCCUCUACGUUGUUCAAAAUUUUUUGAUUGAGAUUGCAGCAACACCAGUGAACCAAAGAGCUCCACAAUGAGUGGCAUCUGAAAGGAUGACCACCCAUCAAGAACGCACCUGGUAUGAAGCUGAUCCCGGACCAGAAGAAGCAGCGCACCUGCAUUAUAGCGACUACAACCCCCGAGUCCUUUGAGUACAUGUGCAAUCACAAGAGCCAACACAGGAGACAUGGGCGGAGAGCCAAGAUCAACAGUGGACAAACCCGCCUUUUCAUACGGGCAGGUACUCCACUGAUCCAUAUGGAGCUUCAGGAUCCAGACCUCUGCCCCAAUUUGAUGCAAGACGAUACUCUGACGCCUCCUACGCUUUCACGAACGACUACUACCAAGAGGCCGGUGCUUUCUUCACCCGUACCGACAACACUCCCCUCGACAUCCAGAACACGCAAGCAGAACAUGGACGACUCCUGGAAGAACAGCAAAAAUGGAACCAGGACCACGCCACUGCAGUACAAGAGCUAAGACAAGAUACAACAACAAUGAACGACAACAUCACAACCAUGAUGCGGUUCUGGAACAUCGGGUAAGACCGACAUAACAUCUAGCUUGGGGGAGUUCCUCCCCAAUUUAUCAAGUAAGUUUUUAUUUGUUCUUCUUAUUUAUUCUUUUCUAUUUCAGUAUUUUAUCUUAAAGGAAAAAAAUUAGAAAACCCAAUAAAUAUUUUCUUGCUUUAUUUUACUGCAUUUUAUAAACAUGAAAACAAAAUAAAAAGAGUGUGUAGAUAAGUGUGAUUUAUUUAUCUGCUAAGUAUUAAUCUCUAGAAAAAUAAAAUACCAAAAAGAUACAGGAUGGAAAUGAUGAACAGUUGCUCUGUUUGCUUACUUUCAAGUACAUAGCUUUUAUAUUAGAGUUCUUCCAGGAAUUACUAAAACUGAAAUUACUAUCUUUGGGAAGCAUAAAACUAAAGUCUAGGAAAGAGAAGGACAUAAUAUAAAGUUUGAGCUGCUGUUUAUCUUGUUCCUGCUACACUAUGUUCUGGAGAUCUAUUUUAAAAACUUACAAAUCAAACGAUGAGUUCCUAGCAUUACAAACUACCUACCACAGCCAUACUUCUUAUAACAUCUUUUACUAUAUUCACAUUGAGUUUGAUCGAGCUGUGUAGACCCUUAGGAGCUUUUCAUGUAGUUAAAUUAAGAUAUUCACUUGCACACAUCCACUACACCAUUCACCACCAAUCAUUAAAAUUGCUAAAAAUAUUAUCACUCACUGUCCCAAAUAUUGUUAUUCUCUCUCUCUGAAAAGAUUUAAUGCAGAAGAGGCAUGGGUUAUGCAAAAAUAUGCGAGGAAAUAAAAAGGGGCAAGUGCCCGGAACCUCGGAAAAGAAAAAGAAAAAGAGUGAGACGAGAGGUAAAAACGGACAAGUGUCCGGAGUAGAAUUAGGGGUACAAAGAUGCCCACUUGAGCGGAAAAAAUGGACAAGUGUCCGACAGUAGAAUUAGAGGUAUCUACUACCCACCUGAAAAAAAAGAGAGAGAUAGCCCAUGUUCUCCCAAAGCAAAAGAUCAAAGAAGAGGAGAGAUAGCAAUAUGAGGAGCAAUGAAAAGUGAGCUUUAUCAUUACUUAUAUUUUCACCAUCACUAUCAUUUACUCCACCACACAUGCGCAUCUUGAUUUAAUUAUAUGCUGAGUUCCUUUGGAUCCAUGGCUCGAUUAGGCAACAUAUGUAUGAGAUGUUUUUCACUCCUAUGAGCUCCACUUAAAUAUUCCAUUAGCUAUAGGUAAGUGACAUUUUGGUAAGGAUGCACAAAUACCACAUAUAGAGAGGCUUGAGAGAAUCAUUGCUGGGAACUCUGAGUUUUAUUUUGAAAAAUUAAAAAACUCUGGAACAAAGGUGAAGUAUAGACAGGAGGAAUAGUGCUUGACUUAAUUAUUUUGCCUUUCGAUUACUUAAGACUUAGGUGCAGGUACUAAGCUCCAUGACACUUCACUCUAAUCGGGAAGAAUUUUUAUAUAAAAGCAUGUGUGCCUGUUAGGAAAGAAAACAUCGAAUCAACUCUUGAUCCAUCUGAGUUUAGCUGUUUGCUUAGGGACGAGCAAAGGGUAAGCUUGGGGGAGUUUGUUGACGGUCCUUAAGUACUAAAAUUAAUAAUCAAUUAAACAUGGAAAAAGAUCCAUAUGCACCAAACAUCUAGAAUGAGGGUUUUAUCUGACAGAAUUCCACAAGCUUUGGUGUUUAUCUAUUUCUGCAUGGGGUUAUCAGAAAAUAUGGAGAGAAGGCCCACAUGUCAUGUUUACAACGAGAUAAUUACGUGCUGUGCAAUUUUCCUCAAUCUAGAAGAGUCUAGAAGCCACGGGAACAAACGGGAGACCGAACGGGCUCGGGGGCAGGGCGCCCGCCCACCACCCUUGGGCGCCCGCCCUGGCCAGGAUUCGAUUCAGAACUCUUUUCGGGGACCAAGCUCCACCGACCUAAAGGACGAAUCUAAACCAUGCAACCAAGGUCGGUUUGAUCCGACGGCCCAAAUUCACUUGAAAGGACUAUAUAACCAAGGCCUCUCCACCCCUGGGGGAGAGAAGAGAAGAGGAUAAAUCAUUAUCAGAGGUAGCCAUCAAAGUUAGGGUUUAGAGCUUCUCUCCCACAAAGAAUUAGAAUUAGCUACUCCCUAAUCCUUCAAGUUUAUUCAAGUUUAGAGGUUUGAUUAGAUAGCAAUUAGAUAAGUAGAGCACUACGCUCUGGAUUCGGAUCUUCGGUAUUAAAGAUUGGUAUUAUUCAUAUCUUUCUCUAAUACUUUGUUCUAAUUGCAUUAUGUCUCUAUUUAUUAUGUUCUUAGUUUGCUCUAGUUCUAUAUUUGAUAUAGUUAUGAUUGAUAAUGAGUUUAUGUAUAAGUUUGCAAAGCGCAUAGCUCUCGACGCGAGCGAGUUGAGUGGUAGAUCACAUGUGGGCAUGGUGCUUAGAUGUUAUUUACCUGCAAAUGUAUCCAAUUGGCCGGGUCGUGUGGUAGUUCACGAUAGUGACAGCUUCGUUGAUUCUUAUAUAGUCCACCCUCCAUUGAUAGGACAGGCAGAAUUGGUAUUGCGGAGUAAGUCUUGCGAUGUUCUGAUUUACUUUAACAAUGUUCCUUAUACAUGAAUGAAGAGUCUUUUAUGCUAUACAUGAUCUUGUAGAUAACUGGAGUAGAUUAUGACUUAGUAGAUAGUAGAUAACUUAGAAUCCAUUCUCUAGCUAAUCCGACGUCACCUACAUAUAUGGGGAGUAGUAUAUUUUCUAAUCGCUGUGUUAUUUACCCAUGAACUUACAAUUCAUUAUCAUUAUCUUUAUGGUUUACCCCCUGCCAAAGUAAGUGACUGUGUGACGAGUUUCUCAUUAGUAAUCAUGUUCUUGCAAGUUUAUCUCUAGUCUAUGCUUUGAUAGAUUUUGUCCUUAUUUUAAUUUCAUCCCUUUUAUUCUCCUAAGCAAAAUUAUAAAUAACGAUACCUGGAAUACUUAUCCUGGUGAAAUGCUACAAUGAGGUUUUUUAUCUGUGCGCUUGCGGAUAGAAUAGAUUAUUUUCUAGAGAGCAUUUACAUUUAUAAAUACCUUUGUACACUCUAGCACCAUGCUGGGGAUGACAAUCUAGUAUCUAAGUGGUGUUAGCUAGUGUCAACACCAAUCAAGAGAGGAAUCUCUAGUAUGUCAAAAAUUUGAAAAUCUACACAAAUUCCAGAGUCCUUGAUUCCAACAGGAACUGCCCUUAUACCCAUGGCUUUCUAGAAUUAAUCCAGAUGGACUUUGUAAAAGUUUCUGAGAUGGGGUUAUGGACUCGUUGGGAUAAAGAGUGUCAGCUAACUCCUUGAAAAUAACAUUUAUCUCAACAUAUGGAUUGUAGUGGACCAUCCUAGCGGACCCUCUAAUUUGGCACAGAAGAAUGGUUGAAGGAGUGAUGAUUCGAGCUACCUCAAGAGACAGCUCUGCUUCUGUUAGCCAUUCAUAACUCAUAAUAGCCGAAAGCCUUUUGAUGUGUUCUAUGUCAACAGAUUCUACUCUUAGAACAGAUUGAGUGGUCCUUGCUAGAGGUCGAGAUUGGAUAGGAAAACUCGAGGUGUUUCCAUAAUCUUCAAAAAGAUCUUCCUCGAAUUCAAAGAGAUGCUCUAAAGGUGGUGGUUCAUCAUCCCUUAGUUGGUUUUGCAUUCCCUUAACAGGAGGUUUCUCUACAACCAAAUUAAUAGAUGGGUCAGGUGGAAUUUCUAACUCGGUUGCAAGUUCCUCAUCUUUUGAUUUAGGAUCAGGCUCGACUUCUUUUUCUUCUUCAGGAAACUCAUCAUAAAUGCCUAUGUAAGGGGUAUUUUCAAGGAUUCUCUCUAGGAUAGCUCUCCCCUCAUCUGUGAGUUUGUGUGUGAGUGAGCCUCCUGAAGCAAUGUCGAGGUGAAGAGCAGCUUCCUUGUUUAGACCAUGAUAAAUGUGGUAGUACAGUACAUGGUCAGGCAGGGAAAGGUUUGGACCAGAAUUGCUAAGGCUUGUGAACCUAGCCCAAGCUGCUCCUAAAGUUUCCUUUUCUCUUUGUUUGAAUGUAAGAAUUUCGAUUCUAAGGUCAGCAAUUCGAAAAAAGUGGGAAGAAAGCGAGACAAAAGUUGUCCCGAAGUUCAUCCCAAUUUCCAUUAACGCAUCCUACAGAAUGAGCAUACCACUUUUUUGCUCUUCCCAAAAGGGAGAAUGGAAAUAAUUUCCAUUUAAGGGUUUCUUGUGUCAUGCCAGAAAUAGAUCGGCAAGAGCACAACUGCUCGAAUUCUCGAAGGUGGGUGUAUGGAUCUUCAUCUACUUGCCCAUAGAAGGGUUGCUCCUGAAUCAUGGCUAUUAGAUCAGGGCCGAGGUUGUAGCCAUCUUUAAGAAUUGGAUGUGAUGAUGGUGGUGGCUCUAGUAACUCGCCCUUUGGAGCAAAGAAUUUAUAGAUUGGAGUGAAAUACAUGUGGUAUGGUGAAAAUGGUAAGGUGAGUAGUAAAAAAAGAAAAGAAAAAGGAUACACGGACGACUUGGUUCGAAACUAGCACAGCUACCGUUCCCCGACAACGGCGCCAGAAAGCUUGUUGGGUAUUUUAAACGCAAACAGAAAAAUCCGCAAGGGCACGGAUACCGUUGUAGCUUUCACCCGGGAGUAUUCCAGAGUACCGAUUUUCCAUAGGGAACGUGAGUGUACUAGUUAAGAUUCAAGAUCGCCCAAGGAUAACUAUAUAAUUAUUUUUGGUGGGAAGAGAGGAAGUUUCCUGAGAGUUCUCUAGUUGAUCUACGAUUCACGAAUUACUUCAAAGAUUAUUUAUUUUGGGACAUCAGAACACUAACCACAGAAAAAGAUGAGAAGGGGGCUAGGAAGCUCUGACUACGGUCCUACAAACACCGAUCCGAACGAGGUGGAAUACGUUGACUGUUAGGGCUGUCACUACCCUAGGGCUACCACAACAAUCCGCAGGAUUGGGAGCAAUUCUAGGUAAUUGCAAGACUGAACACCACGUCUAAUCUAUUAAUUACUACUCUAGCGUUGCAAAGACUAGAGCACUUGAUGCAAGCGGGAAUCCAGUAAAUAACUUGAAAGUAAAUAAAAGUAAUUAAAGAACUCAGGAAUUAUGAAUUGAAGAACCUGGAGAACGAUGAAGAACGAACCAGUUGCUGCAAAAGUACAAUGUUGAGGAAGAUCCGACAGAUCCGGCUCCUCCGCUCUCCUCUUCUCUCUCCCUAUUUUCUAGAUUACAACUAGAACUAACUAGAACUAGAACUAGAGGAACUAGAACUAUAACUAGAUGAACUAGAGGGAACCUCUAUACUUGGAUGAAGAAUUGAAACCCUAGCUUUGAUUCUGUAGAAGAGGUAUGUUCUCUAGGGGCCAGGGGCCUUGCUUAUAUAGUCUUUUCAGAUGAAUCUGGGCCGUCAGAUCAAACCGACAUUGAUUGAAUGGUUAUCCUUGAUCCUAUAGGUCGGUGGAGCAUGAUCCCCAAAGAGGACUCUGAUUGGGCACCAAAGGGGGGCGGGCACCUUGGUCUCUAGGGCGGGCGCCAUGGGCUAGGCGCCGUUCUGCCUCCGCUUCGUUUCCGUGGCUUCUGGAGUCUUCUAGAUUAUAGAAAAUUACCGCACACGUUAAUAUCUCUAUGUAAACCCGACGUGUGGGCCUUUCCUCCAUAUUUCUUGAUAACCCCCUACAGAAAUAGACAAACACCAAAACUCGUGGAAUUCUGUCAGGUGAAACGCUAAUUUUGGUUGUUGGUUGCAUAUAGGUCCUUUUCCAUGAUUAGUUGACGGUUAAAUGUGAGCAUUAAGGACCGUCAACAAAGCUACAACGGUAUCUGUGCGUUUGCGGAUUUAUCUGUGUUCGUAUAAAUACCAUAGUACACUCUAGUGCCAUGCUAGGGAUGACAACCUAGUAUUCAAGCGGUGUUAGCAAGUGUCAUCACAUAACAAGAGCAUCAUCAUCUACUUAAGCAUAUCAUGAUUGUUGAUAUUUGGGAACGCAAUAAGGAAUUGAUCCGCAACAGCACGGAUAUCGGUGAGCACUUCACCCGGGAGGUUAUCCAGAGUAUCGUAAUUAUUUUUUUACCACUAGGAGAAAGAAUGCAUCUGACUAACCCGGUCUAUUACUACUAACCCUUUAGGCAACAAAGAAUGUUUCUCGAUGUGAGUGAUAAAUAGAAAAGACUACAACCGUAAUCUCCUUCUAACCUUGGUAAGGAUGAUCUACUAUUCUAUUAGGGAGGCUAACGGAAUCUAGACACCACAAAGGAUGUUCAACCCGCACCUAUAAACCCUAUCCUUCCUACUAACGAGAUAUGGUCUGCAAAGGUAACUCGGAAAUGUCACGUUCCACGCUACUACCACGGUCUAGCUAGUCAGGGAAUAUCUAUGAGUAUCCUAGCCCAAACACCACGUCUACGCUAGAGAUGAUUACUCUAAACUCUACGCGAAGAGAUUAAAGUAAACUCAUAAACCAAAGAACAAUAAAACAAGAACUUACUAGAAUUUAGAAGUCGAAAUACUGCAGAAUCAUAGGAGCAAGCCUCGGGUUAGGAGAACUUGAUCCCGCAGGUACAAGCUCGGAGUAGACACCGACAGGCCGGGCUUCCUCCGAUCUACACCUCCACUCUAUCUCUCUCAAUCUAGUAGAAACUAGAAGAUCUAUUUCUACUCACAUUGGUUGCUAAGCCUAAAAAGAAAUUUUAUUUAGAGAAGAGUUUUUCCUUCGAGGGCUCCCCUCAACUCUAUGAUAAACUUGUCUCCUCCAGGGGUCAGGGGGUCUGGUUUUAUAGUCCCCUCAGGUGAACGUGGGCCGUUGGAUCAAACCGACAUUGAUUGCACUGUUAUCCUUGAUCCUUUAGGUCGGUGGAGCGUCAUGUACGAAAAGAGUCCUGAUUGGCAUCCAACUGAGGGCGGGCGCCCAGGUCCUCAGGGCGGGCGCCCUGGGCUAGGCCCCUUUCGGCCUCCGCUUUGUUCCCGUGGCUUCUGGAGUCUUUUAGAUGGUAGAAAAUUGCGCGGUGCGUUGAUAUCUCUAUGUAAUCCCGACAUGUGGGCCUUUCUUCCUUAUUUCCUAAUAACCCCCUGUAGAAACAUAUAAACAACAAAACUCAUGGAAUUCUGUCAGAUCAAACCCUAAUUCUAGGUGUUGGUUGCAUACUGGUCCUUUCUAUUGUUUAUUUGAUAAUUAAAAUUGAUACUUAAGAACCGUCAACAAAUACCACCAUACUUAGGCUUUUACUCGUCCUCGAGAAAAGGAUGGUUAAGAACAAUAUCUGGGGUAAAACAUUUUAAAACAUUCUCUUCAUAACUGCAGGGUUUUAAAAUCCACUGUGUACUAUAGUGAGGGAAGUAUAUUGUUAAGUGUAAAGAUCCUUUCUUCUCAAUCCUGUCACUUGGAGUUUUUUGUAUAUUUUUGAAAGAAAGUUAGCAUACCUUUUAUCCUCAUAGGUUCUCUCAGAUCACUCAUUGUCUUUUAUAUAUCUCACUGAGGCUGUUUUAAUUUGCAAAAAAUUCUCAAGCAUACUUACCUUGUAUUUAUUGCCUGAUCAAAACGGGAUCCGAGGAGGGGAAUGUCAUACUCUUAGAUCAAAGACUUUGGAAAUUAAAAUCUUUGUCAACUCUUGCUGGCAUAUUGCUUAUUAGAGGGACCAUGGGCUAUCAUUCUUUUUUCUUCUCUUUUUUUUAAGUGGAUACUGAGGUACCCCUGAUUCUACUGCCGGACACUUGUCCAUUUUUUCUACGAGGUUAUCGAGCACUUGCUCCUUUUUAUUUCCUCGAAAUAUCUUUAUUUUUUGCAUAGCCCAUGCCUCUAAUGCAAUAAUACUUCGGAAGAGUGAAUCUUUCUGAAUAAAUGUCUUGAUCUUAGGAGCAUGAUAAAUCUCUCAACAAGGGUCUAACUCAUUUUGAACAAACUCAAUAUAGAGUAGAUAGCCUUUAUAAUCAUAAUUAAUAUUUUCAGUUUUUAUCACGCAUAUAAAACACUGAGGAUGGUAGCUAGAAUUUUUGAAUAAAUUUUGAAAUAAAUUCUCUAAGCAACAAUGAUAUCAAGAAUAAGAAACUCAUACUCUACCAUCUCACAUUCCAUAUUGGCUUAAGUAACACAGGAUUUUAAAAUGAUUUUUCAAUAAUUGCAAGUUUCAGGAAAUAUCAGAGAGUGAGAUUAAUCAUGAUUAGAAACAUUUUAAGCUUGUUAAUUUAUCAUGUCGGAAAUAGUAUUCUGCAUAAUCCAAGAUAUAUAUGUGUAUGUGUAAAGUGUGCAGAGUGCGUACCUGAAUCGUGGAGUGGUGUAGUCGAAGUGUGUUUGGCAUGUCGAGGGAUCUCCCCCAUACUUGUUUUCUGCUCUAAUUCCUUGAUCUUCUUAUUGGCACUGGCAAGAUCCUGUCUAGUAUAAUGGUGUUGUGGUUAGAGAGCUGCCUAGUGAGGGAAUUAAUCGAGGACUGGAGGUCUAUGAUAACUCUGUCUACCCUACGAAUGUCCUCAUCAAUAUCUACUAUAGCCUUGCGACGCUUGGGAGGUGUCUCAAAAGCAUUGAGAGCGUGCUUUGGGAUUGCCUUUGGAGGGAUGAAACGGACUUUGGCUGCUCUAAUCCCUUCAAAGUAAGGCCUUUCCUCCUCCGUAGUGUAGCAUAUGCUGCUGAUCUCGCCGCUCCGGUUGGUCUUGACUCCAACGACCCUCUCAUUGGGUCUAGGUGGAAGGAUCCUCGUGCCGGUUGGCACCUUGAUGGUGGUCUUCGUAUUGGAUGAUGAUCCCUUGAGGAGUAGGGGUUGUGGUGGUGCGGUGAGAACUGAUUGAGCAUGAUAGGAUUGGGUGGAGCUACGUUGGUGUAAUGGCAUGGCUUCUAGCUGUCGCUCUGUGUUGGCCGGGACGAGAGCACGGGCGUCGGGGUCUUCCACAGGCUCCAUGUUGAGGUUGAAGGGGACGACUUCCCAAUCAUCGUGGAACUUCUCGGCCAUUGGAGCAGCGAGGGACUUAACAAGCUCUAAUUGAAGAAGAAGAGAAGGCUUGGAUAGAUUGGUGUUUGAAAACUGAUGUCAGGGGUCUGUUUAUAUAGGGGUCAAAAAGUGCCUCUAGGGGUUGUUCGGGUUGCUCCCUUCGAUGUGCGUGAGAAACUUUCCAUCUGUGGGAUUAUUCAGAUUACCAUAAGUGUGUUUUCCAUAACAGAGAAAAUCGGGACCGAAGGGGAAUAGGGGCGGGGAGCCCGCCCACUUGAUCAGGGCGCCCGCCCUCUCUCUAUCUCCUCUAUGGGUUCGCUUCCUCGAGCGUGUUUCUAGAUGCAAAACUAUUUAGGAAAAUAUAUGUAUCACCCAAAAACGUCAGACUAAAAAGGUCGGGCUCUAAUUCUCUAUGGGAAGGUAAAAAUGGACUACGUCUAUUUCUUCUAAUUCUUUAUUGGGCUCUAAAAACAAUUUAAGACGUUGACCAUUUACCUUGAAUAACGUACCUUCGCCAUUUUGAAGUGUGAUAGCUCCAUGGGAUGAUGAAUUAAUUACCUUGAAUGGUCCUUCCCAUUUGCUCCGGAGUUUUCCAUGCCCGAAAAGCUUCACCCUGGAAUUAAAAAGUAAUACCUUAUCUCCGGGUGUGAACUCCUUCUUGAUUCUCUUGUCAUGCCACCUUUUGACUCUUUCUUUGUAGAUCUUCGAAUUGUGAUAUGCUUUCUCUCGCCAUUCUUCCAAUUCUAAUAGUUGCAUUCUUCUAUGAUCUCCAGCAACAUCUAGGUCCAUAUUCCAUCUCUUUAUGGCCCAAUGUGCUUUGAACUCUAGUUCAACAGGUUGAUGGCAAGUCUUCCCGUACACCAAUUGGUAUGGAGACAUUCCAAUUGGGGUCUUGUAUGUUGUCCGGUAUGCCUAGAGUGCAUCGGGUAACUUGUCUUUCCAUGCCGUUCCCAUUUCAUUUACUGUCUUCUGAAGAAUAUUCUUGAUUUAUUUGUUGGAAGUCUCUGCUUGGCCACUUGUCUGAGGAUGAUAGGGGGUAGCGACGUUGUGACGGAUUCCAUGUUUUCAUAGAUAUUGCUUGAAGCGUUUGUCGAUGAAGUGUGCUCCUCCAUCACUUAUCACUACUCUGGGGACUCCAAAUCUUGGAAAUAUAAUUUCUCCAAACAUCCUCUUUGAACUGAUGUUGUCGGCAUGCUUGCAAUGUAAUGCUUCUACCCACUUGGAGGCAUAGUCAACUACCACCAAGAUGUACUCACACUUCUUUGAUGGAGGAAAUGGACCCAUAUAGUCUAUUCUCCAGACAUCAAAGAGCUCAAUCUGAAGGUUGUUGGUGAGUGGCAUUGCAUCCCUUGUAUUUAUGUUUUCGUGCCUUUGACAUGGCCCACAUCUUCUGAUAUAUUGCUUCGUGUCUUCUUACAUUGCAGGCCAGUAGAAUCCACACUGCCAGAUCUUUGAAUGUGUACGGAAUGCUCCAUAGAGACCUCCAUAUGGUGAUGAAUGACAUCUGUCGAUGAUCUUCCAUCCUUCCUCAGUGGUCACACAUCUCUUGAGUAAGCCAUCAUAGCAUACUCGGAAGAGGUAUGGCUCAUCCCAUAUAUGUGAACGACUUUCUUGAAUAAGCUUCUUCUUGUUUGCUCCUGGUAGUACAUACCCUGAAAGCAUAAAAUUAACAAUAUCUGCAUACUAGGGGUCAGACCUGUUAAUGCCGUACAGCAUGUCAUCUCGGAGUAAAUCAUUGAUGGGGGUUUCCUGUGGAUUCUUAAAAUACAUUCUAGACAAGUGAUCUGCAACAGAAUUUUCUACUCCCUUUUUAUCUUUUAUUUCUAAGUCAAAUUCUUGAAGUAAUAAGAUCCAUCUAAUCAGGCGAGGUUUAGCAUCUUUUUUAGUGAGCAAAUAUUUUAGUGCAGCAUGAUCAGUGUAAACAAUUAUUUUAGCUCCAACUAAAUAAGAUCUAAAUUUAUCAAUGGCAAAGACAACAGCCAGAAGCUCUUUUUCAGUGGUUGCAUAAUUAAGUUGAGCUCCUGUCAAAGUUUUACUGGCAUAAGCAAUUGCAUGAUGCUUCUUAUUUUUAGUUUGUCCCAAAACUGCCCCCACAGCAUAAUCACUAGCAUCACACAUAAUUUCAAAAGACAACGACCAAUCAGGGGGUUGAAUGAUUGCUGCAGAGAUGAGUGCUUUCUUUAAUAAAUUGAAAGAUGUUAGACAUGCAUCAUCAAAUUCGAAAGGAGCAUCCUUGGCUAGCAAAAGAGUAAGUGGUCUAGCAAUGAAUGAGAAAUCUUUUAUGAAUCUACGAUAAAAACCAGCAUGGCCAAGAAAGCUUCGAAUUCCUUUUAUGUUCACAGGUGGAGGUAGUUGUUCAAUUACUUCAAUUUUAGCUUUGUCUACCUCAAUACCUCUUUCAGACACUAGGUGUCCCAGCACUAUUCGUUCCCUAACCAUGAAAUGACAUUUUUCCCAAUUAAGGACUAAGUGCUUUUCUUCACAUCUUUGCAAAACCUUGUCUAAGUUUUCAAGACAACUAUCAAAAGUUUUUCCAUAAACAGAGAAAUCAUCCAUGAAAACUUCCAUAAUCUCUUCAAUCAUAUCAGAAAAUAUAGACACCAUGCAUCUUUGAAAAGAAGCUGGUGCAUUACAUAACCCAAAAGACAUUCUACGGUAAGCAUAAGUUCCAUAUGGGCAUGUAAAAGUGGUUUUGCUUUGAUCAUCGGGAUGGAUCAGGAUGUGAUGAUACCCUGAAUAUCCAUCUAGGAAACAGAAGAACGAAUGGUUCGCUAAUCGCUCUAGCAUCUCAUCUAUGAAAGGUAAAGGAAAAUGAUCCUUUCUCGUGGCUUUGUUUAGUUUUCUAUAGUCUAUGCACAUCCGCCAUCCUGUGACGGUGCGUUGCGGAAUUAGCUCGUUCUUUUCAUUCAUAAUAACAGUCAUGCCUCCCUUUUUAGGCACAACUUGAACUGGGCUCACCCACUCACUAAGCAGCACAGGAUAUAUAAUCCCUGCAUGCAGCAACUUUAUAACUUCCUUUUUAACUACCUCCCUCAUAGUGUUGUUAAGUCAAUGUUGAGGUUCUCGAGAAGGUGAAACAGAAGGAACUGUUGGAAUACGAUGGGUACAAAUCAUAGGACUGAUUCUUGUAAGAUAUUGGAGUGAGUAGCCGAAAACUGAGUGAUGUUUCUCAAGAAUGGUCAUUAAUCGUAGAGUUUGCUCCUGACUGAGUUCAUCGCUAAUGAUCACAGGAAACUCUGGAUUAUUGUUUAGGAAAGCAUAAGUAAGACCGGGUGGUAAAGUUUUAAGCUCUAUGGGAGGUCUAGGUGUUUCUGCAAACUCAUCUAAGGGUUCAGGUUCAGAAGGUUCGGCUUCUUCUUCUGUGAAGAAAGGAGCUUCUUCUUCUUAGUCUGAUUCAUCUAAAAGCUCUAGAGAUGCAACCUUUACCUCCUCCAUGGGAUCAGGCAAAAGAUAUGACUCGGCCUUAUUGUUUAAGAAGUGUGAAAUUGUUAUUGGGAUUUUAAAAGCUUUUCCAUAAGAAAUGUGUUGCUUUCCAGUAUGACCUUCAUAAAGGAGUCUUCUAAAAGGUUGUCCUAUCAACAGGUUGAAUUCCCAUGUAUCAAAGAUAUAGAAGAUCAAAUGAACCAUGGAGCCUUCUACCGUAAGAGGUAGGACAUUAAUAAUUCCAAUACUGGGGACUAAUCAUCCCAAAGAUUCCUUUAUGACCUUUGUUGUGCGGGUUAAGACAAGAUUUUUAAAUAGUUUAAGUGCAAAAGAUUCAGACAUGGUGUUGAUCCCCACAACAGGAUUAUAGAGAGCAUUAAAUCGAUCAGAAUUAUAAGCACAGCGUAUAGUUAUAGAGGGUGUGUCCAAACAGAUCACAUCAGAGGAAAGCUCUGAUUCCUCCAACCACUCGCUACUCAUGACUGAGAUAAGCUCUCUUAAUUGAUAUUCACUUGGUAAAUAAAUGCUAAACUGGCCGUUUUGGGGUUUGUCAAUAGAAUGGUAGUUUGAAAUGUUUCCAAAAUCGGCAAAAGAUCGGAUUCUAUAUCCAGCAUAAAGUCUGGUGGUGGAAUUUCUUCCUUUUGUGGCUCAGAACUUGGGAUAGCUAAAGUAGAUGAAGAAUUUGGCAGAGUGUCUACUUCGGCCUCGUAGGUUUCAUCAUGAAGGGUAUUAUCCAUCUCAGCUUCUAGGAUUCUAUCUAGGAUCAAUCUAGCUUCAUCAGUAGGGAUGCGAAAGAAAGAACCUCUAGACGUUGUGUGUAGCAUUUGUUUGUGAUUUUUCUAAAGAGCUCGAAAAAAGUGAAAUAAAAGAACAGGGUCUUCAAGAUUAAGGUUUGGACCAGAUUCUAAAAGAUCAGAAAAACAUUUCUAGGAUUUUGUUUAAAAGAUAGGACUUCGAGUCUAAAGUUUCAUUAUCUUUUUGUUUAAAAGUUUCAUUAUCUUUUUGUUUAAAAAUCUAGACAAAAGUUGGCUCGUAAAACUCCCCAUUCACCUCGUUGUUCACUUACCUUCUGACUAUACCAUUGUCUAGCUUCUCCCCUUAAGGAAAAAGGAAAAAGCUUCUAAUGUAAAGUUUUAACAGAAAUGCCUUCAAUGCGAAGACAAUCACAUGUUUGCUCAAAUAUCUAAUAUGAAGGUAAGGGUUUUCGUCUUCCUUUCCUGAAAAAGAUAGGUUUUGUAUCAUGGCAAUCAACCUCGAACUUAACCUAUACUGGGAUGUUUGGAUAGGCUGUGAUGACUCCCAUUGUAAAAGGUCAGUUUCCGAAGGUGUUGCAAAUUGGUAGAUUGAUUUAGAAUCUUGGUUUUCCAUAAGGUAAGAGUAAAUAAAAUAAAUACAGAAUAUAAAAGAUAAGAAAAGAUAAAAGUAUAGAUACAAGCUAGUAGUAAGACUCAAGGUUAUCUCAGCAAACCGUCUUUCUCCCCUGCAACGGCGCCAGAAAUGCUUGUUGAUAUUUGGGAACUCAAUAAGGAAUUGAUCCGCAAGCGCACGAAUAUCUGUGAGUACUUCACCCGCGAGGUUAUCCAGAGUAUCGUAUUUAUUUUUUACCACUAGGAGAAAGAGUGCAUCUGACUAACCCAGUCUAUUACUACUAACCCUUUAGGCAACAAAGAAUGUUUCUCGAUGUCAGUGAUAAAUAGAGAAGACUACAACCGUAAUCUCCUUGUAACCUUGGUAAGGAUGAUCUACUGUUCUAUUGGGGAGGCUAACGGAAUCUUGACACCACAAAGGAUGUUCAACCCGCACCUAUAAACCCUAUCCUUCCUGCUAACGAGAAAUGGUCUGCAAAGGUAACUCGGAAAUGUCACGUUCCUCGCUACUACCACGGUCUAGCUAGUCAGGGAAUAUCUAUGAGUAUCCUAGCCCAAACACCAUGUCUAUGCGAGAGAUGAUUACUCUAAACUCUACGCGAAGAGAUUAAAGUAAACUCAUAAACCAAAGAACAAUAAAACAAGAACUUACUAGAAUUUAGAAGUCGAAAUACUGAAGAAUCCUAGGAGCAAGCCUCGGGUUAGGAGAACUUGAUCCCGCAGGUACAAGCUCGGAGUAGACACCGACAGGCCGGGCUUCCUCCAAUCUACACCUCCACUCUAUCUCUCUCAAUCUAGUAGAAACUAGAAGAUCUAUUUCUACUCACAUUGGUUGCUAAGCCUAGAAAGAAAUUUUAUUUAGAGAAGAGGUUUUCCUUCGAGGGCUCCCCUCAACUCUAUGAUAAACUUGUCUCCUCCAGGGGCCAGGGGUCUGGUUUUAUAGUCCCCUCAGGUGAACGUGGGCCGUUGGAUCAAACCGACAUUGAUUGGACGGUUAUCCUUGAUCGUUUAGGUCGGUGGAGCGUCGUGUACGAAAAGAGUCCUGAUUGGCAUCCAACAGAGAUCGGGCGCCCAGGUCCUCAGUGCGGGUGCCCUUGGCCAGGCCCCUUUCGUCCUCCGCUUUGUUCCUGUGGCUUCUGGAGUCUUCUAGAUGGUAGAAAAUUGUGUGGUGCGUUGAUAUCUCUAUGUAAUCCCGACAUGUGGGCCUUUCUUCCUUAUUUCCUGACAACCCCCUGCAGAAACAGAUAAACAACAAAACUCGUGGAUUUCUGUCAGAUCAAACCCUAAUUCUAGGUGUUGGUUGCAUACUGGUCCUUUCUAUUGUUUAUUUGAUAAUUAAAAUUGAUACUUAAGAACCGUCAACAAUGAUCAUCAUCUACCUCGAGUCAUGUCAUUGUAUGCUAAAGUGUGUUUUAACUUGCUUAAAUAUACUUCCUAUGCUGGUGUUUACUUAUUCCAUGCCCAUGUUUGUGUGCUAUGCCUUAGUAAAUAGUUUCUCUAUGCUUAACUCAACCUUUGGAACAAUGUUCAUGUUGAUCACUUCUCCAAAUUAAGUACUUAAGUCAUACUUCCAUGUAUAGGCCCUAGAAACAUCUUUUGAUUAAGCUUUUAAAAAGUGUUUCGUAAAGUGUUUGCAUGUCAAAACUUUCUAGAGCAAAGUUGUAGCACAUUUUAUAAGGAACAAAAGUUGUUUUAUGGCCAUCUCAUGAAAAUUAUCACAUCUAGCUCAAAAAUGGCCCACAAGGCAGAUUUGGGGCUGUUUCAAACACUUAGAAAAUUUUCUAAGUCUGGGAUUGCAAUAGUUUGCUCGAGGGUGUUUUGUUUAGCUCCCGGUUUGAAAUCUAGGCAGAAUCAAACCUUGAUCUUGUAAGAAAUGUUGGAGUUCUCAUGUAGCUCUACAGCAUGGAGCAAUUAGCCAGCAAAAUCAUCGAAGUCCAAAAAUCGAGUUUCAGUCGGCUCUGAAACUGAAUCGAGACGGCGUCAGCAGAGGGGAGCUCGCCGGUGACGCCGCGUGUCUGGACUCGUGGCGUCCGUACGUCGCCGUUGGUCCCGCUCGUCAGUCCUCAGCGUGUCCUAAAGCUCGCCACGACGCCCCCGGUCGUGUGGACAGCGCCAUUUCCACUCUGGUCCGCCCUCUAUCGCGCUCGUCGUCUUCUCCGCGUCGCCACCGCUGCUUCGGCGAGCUCGCGCGCUCGCGUCUCAGCACCUCUGGCUGAGCAACUCCACCCAGAGCUCCGCCAGCUUCCCCGCUUCCCCGUCGUCGAGUUGGCUAUGGCUGUCGAGCCUCGGUGAGCCCACAUUGUCUUCUCCAUCGCGAGCUUACCUCGCCGGAGCUCUGCCGUGGUCACCGGUGUCGUGGCCAGGGCUCUAUAGUCCACCAUUUCUCCUCGUUCUUGUCCGAAAAGCUCCGUUGAGUCGUGCUAAUGCUCAUCCGAGUCCUCAUUCACCCGGUCUCCGACCAGAGACACCGACGGUCGGCCACACACCACCGCCGUGCCGCCAUUCGCGAGGGCGAGGUACCUAGGGUGCGGUAGAGUUAGGGUUUCUGGUACCAAUCGGUGCGGAAUGGAGUGAGGAGCACGAUGCUGCUCUUGGCCGUCGCUGAGACCUCGCCGUCGACAAGAUCUUCGGCGGUCAAGUCGCGCCUCUACUCUCGGGUCACUGACGUGUGGGGUCCGUUGACCUGCGGGGUCCCCUGUCAGUCUCUCUUUCUCCUUUGUUUUAUUUAGGGUUUGUGUUGUUUUUGCAAAAAUCAUAUCUCUAGUUCCUGUGAUCCAAAAUUUGUGAGAUAAAUUUUGUGACAUUCCUUGAGAUGGCUAGUUUUUAAUAAAAAUAUAAAAUGUACCAUGUUUUCUGGAAAAAAUAAUUGUUAUGAUUUAAUCUUGUUAUUUAUGUGUAAAUUCAUAUCUGUUGAUAUACUGCUCCUUUUGCUAUGAAAUUUUUAUGCUAUGCCUUGAGUGGUAUUAGAAUGCUAUGAUAAAUAUUUCAUGAUUUGUGGAGUAAUGUAUCUGUGAUAUGUACUUAUGUUGGUUCUAUGGCUUGUUUUCGUAAUUAAAUCAUAAUAAAUGAUUUAUGCUUAUGCUGGUAUUCUAUUUUGGUGUCAAGCUUGUUUAUGGUAAUAGUAACAUGUAAAUAAUCUGAAAUCUGUUGCUUGACACUACCAAAGCCAUGUUUCUUAAUUUAUGAAAUAAGCACCUUGAUACAUGUUAAAUACUUAUCUUAAGUUUGGCAUGUGCAAUUGCUCUGAAAUUUUUAUGGUAAUUUGUAGAUGCCAUGCUUGUGUUUCUGUAAUUUUUGUAGAUUUUUCUGAGUACUUUUGCUGGCAGCUUGUAAUUAUGUCCCUUCAUGGAAUUAAAUUAAUAAGUGCCAUGUUAUUGGGUGUUUAGUGGUCAGCAUGUGAUGCUCUGGCUACCUUAGGGUAUACUUGUGCUUGUAACCCAUUUGGUUGGCACUAAAUAUGUUUUGGCUAUGUCAUCAAAUAAAUAAUUAGAGGGUUAAAAGCUGUUCUGGACAGCAAGGGAGUAAUCUAACCUUUGCUUAAUGAUAACUUGGUUUUCUGGAAGACUUGUCUAAAUCAAAGUUGUUGUAAACUUUAUAAACUAGCUGUGGUUUAAAUUUGGGAUCAUUUGGUCCAAUAGUCUAAAAGUUAUGGCUCUUCCAAUUUGGGUUCCAGAAAUAGGUGUUCUCUGAUUUUCUGGGACAGAACAUGGAACUUUGUUUAAUUGACCUGUUUAACUUGGGAAUCCUGCUGUGUUGUCUAAAGAUGAAAUAUAUACGAGUUCAUAAGCUUUCCAGAAUGUCCUCAUUCAUGUUUGUUGGAUCUAUAUAGCAAUAGUUAUGAUCUGUUUACUGAGCUGUUCUGUUAUAGGAUGCUUGCUGUUUGUAGAUUAACUUGGUAAUCUUGCUCAGUAGUUAAUCAUCUUGUGUGAACUUGUAAUGAGAGUUACUCCAUAAAUGAGUGUCCAGUGAAGUUCUAAUUAUGUUAUCAAGCAUUCAUCCUCAUCUAGGAUGCACACAUUCUUAUUCAUCGUGCAUACAAUAGGUGCAUCGGAAGCGGCGACCAUGUUUGAGCCCAACCUGGUGAAUCCCGAAGGCCAGGAGAUCAAUCCGGAGGUGGAGGUCCAGCCAGCCGGACACGAGGAGUCCGAAGAGGAGAUCGAGUGCCCUAAUCACGAGCCAGCCUCGUUCAUGAAAGGCAAGCCCCGGAACAUCUUAAGUCUCCCACUUUAAUUUCAAAAGUUUACUUGAAUAUGUUAUAUCUAUUAAUGCAUUAUGUAUAGGAGUUGUGAUGAAACCCUUACUGCAUUAUCCUUAUUCCUUGUCUAGAUAUCUUACCAUUGCCUGGUCAUAGAGUUAGGAUCGAGUAGCAGCUUAGCCAUGCUUAAAUCGGUAGAAGUCGGAUGAUAUCCUGUCACCUGCGUGAGAUAGGGUUGUGUCGGAUCACGAUUGUCUAUAUGUGCUAUCAUGGAAAGAACCUGAUUAAAAUGACUUAAGCUGGGCGGAGUUUUGCAAGGUUGUAGUAACUCCAUCUGUGGUUGCUAAGGACCGAUCAUUGCACGUCCUCUUGUCAUGUUGAACUCAUGCCUAACACUUAGUUGGCCGGAUAACUCGUUCCGACCGCGAAGCCUAGUAGUAUGACUCAGGCCGGAAGACCGGCAAGUAUAAAGUGCGCACGACCAGAGGAAGUGCGGUGUGUGGGGGACCAUUGGCGUAAGACCAAAGGUAGGUGAGUUAAAAGUCCUGACCUCCCUGUCAGAGUGGUAGCCCUGGGAGUGCGGCGCUGAUCGGAGCCGCAAUUCCUUAGUCGUACGAAAGGUGACCCGUUUGCUCUGCGACGGGGGAUGCUUGGGUGAGUGCUAGGAAUAACCCUCCAGCUGGAUAGGAAUUGAUUCGAAUCGCCGUCUCUCCUGGAUAGUGAGAAAUUGACAGAGCAGCGGCAAGCGUAGCAUUCACUAAAGAACAUUGGUUCGUGAUAAUGAUGGUAGCAAGGAAGAGCAUAUGAUGAACUUGAUAUGGUUAUUAUUGUUUGUAUUAAUCAAAGUGUAGUGCUUUAGUACAGGUGCUAAUCUAGUGCUAGGUUAAUAAAGAUUAAUAUGAUGCCUUUACAAAUGGGAUAGUAAUCACUUGAGCUUUUGGCAAAUGUUGAGUCAAGCCAGCUACACUUUAUAAUAGCCUUGCAUGAUCCUUGGUGUCUUCUUAGUUUACUAGACGGGUAAUUCUAGCUGAGUACAUCCUCGUACUCAGGGUUUGCUUCUGCAAGACCUGUCUCCAUCCCGCUGGGGAUGAGGACUAAACCAUUGGGCACGGUUCUCUAACAAAUUUGUACCUGUCGCUUUUGGAUGGAUGGCAUGAGACUCUGGCAAUAACAAGAACUUUCGAAUGUGUGUUGUAAAAUAUUUUGCUUUCGCUACUGCAAACUUGGGUUGUAAUAAAUAAUUAACUCCGAUGUGGUGCCGCAUCGAUGGCAAUGAAUGACUAUGUAACAUUCGCUGUGUUAUGUUGAACUAUUACGAUCUUGGUUUGUUACAAGUUGGUUUGAAGUCCUUCAAGAUUUCGGUUGACUACCGGGAUAAGGGCCCAAGUAUGGAAACUUGAUUGCUAGUUGAUCGUUUCUGCACUUGAACUCUUAUAAUUUGGUCGGGUCUAUGACAGGAGACAUUGACCGGGCGACGGUAUAUGUGUCAUUGGCGCCCGGUACGGAGCACCCGGCCGGAAUGGAUCCUCCAGUGGACGAGCUGCUCCAUGUGACCGAUACACCAGCAGUGACGAAGAGGAGAACCGGCUGGCACCGACCACCGACAACACGGUGGCCGGCAAGAGGUCGAUGGCUGUGGAGCCAUCUCCAGUGGAAGCAGUGCCUGCAGGAUCAGUUGCAGGACCUGUGAUGGGCCAGGGGUCGACCUCAGGUAGCCGAGCACCCAAACGCCGCUAGCUUAUUAGAAUUGUCGAUGACGACGAUGAGGAGGAAGAGGUGGCCCCAACCUUGGUCCGUAGACCCCGCAACAGCCCCGACGUCGCCCCAAGCAACAGUGGUCGGGUUGCCAAGGACCCACCUGCUGCAUACGUCAAGCAGGCGUGACCGGGUGGAGCGGAGACAACGGCGGCGGCUGGACGAGCCAGGAGGAGAGUCUUCUUAGUGGUGCAUCGAAGUUCAAAUCUGUAAGCCCAUCGAGGAAAGUUUCUUUUUUAGUGAAGUUUGAUUUCAGUGUGGUAAUUUUGGAUUGGAUCUUCUCUGUAGUACUGCCUCGGAUGUUGAUCUUGGUAGUGUUUUGGGCUCGAGGACAACCGAGCCGGUGGCCGCCGAGCAGAACAUCACAGGGCAAACUACCCUAGAGCAGCCCAUGGCACACCCUGCUGCUGUCCUUCCGACGAAGAUGGCCGAUGAGGACCCGGCCCGAGACAGGGCUGAGGCGAGCGCCCGACAAGGGGCGAUGGGACCACGGGGACUCCUCCCCCGAGCAGUGUGGUGGAGGAGGAAAACAAGGCCCCGUCCCCUGCUCCAGUUGAAGAGGACACGGCUCUAUCUCUAGCUCCAGUGGAGCCACACAGGAGGGCGCUCCUGACCGAGGUAAGGGUCUUGUGAUACCCGAUACCGUGGUUGGGGGUAGCAUAGAAGGCGAGGAAGCUCGGGCGGCCUCCGACGACGAAGUGGAGGAGAUCCAGGGGCGUCCCCGCGAUGGUCGCCAACACAUCUAUGUAUGGUGCUAGCAUGGGGACCACUAGGCCGGCCACGAGGAGAUCGCCGAGGUCGAGGAGGCGGAGAGGGUAGAGCGCACUGCCAAGCACCUCAUCAGUGAGGUUAAGGUAAGUGGUCUCACAUUUUAUUAGAGUAUAUAUAAACCAUGGAGUGUUUACUGUGUAUCAUGCCAGAAAUCCAUAGGACGCAAUGAAAACGGCGAAGUAACGGAAAAGGUGCUUUGACCAAAUUGAGGGCAUGGUCGCUGAGAACAAGGCCCUGACCGCGGAGGUGGACCGCCUUCGGUCGGAGGCCGAGAGGGAGGCGAAGGAGAAGGCAGCUGAGGAAGUGCGUGUGCUGGACCUGACUCGGCGACUAGCCGAUAAGGAUCGUGAGAAGAGGAGUAAGUCAAGUUUCUAAGUAGUUGUAGCUAACUACGUGGUCAAUUUUUAUGACAAACUAUUAUCGCUUCAGGUCUGGAGGAGGAGAUUGAGCGCCUCCAAAAGGAGAGAGACCAGCUCGGCUAGGAGCGUGCGCGUGCGCUAGAAAGCGAGCGUAAGGCUGGCAAGGAGCUGAAGACCAGGAACCGAGAGUUGGCUGGUAAGAUCUGUUUUGACUUUGCUGACCACGGAUUGUGUAUUGGCGUAGUGUGCUAUUGACUAUCUUCCUCCGAUUUUUAUUGAAACUUGUCAUAGUGCUCAAGGCCAACACUAAAAAGCAUGUCGAGGACCUGGUCAAAGACCGGGACUCCUAGAAGACAAAUUGCAUAAAAAUCUGCAAGGGCGUCGCUCUGGUGCUGGACCUAAUCAGCCCCGAGCUCCCCGAGGACCAGCCCACGCACCGAGGUUGACCCCGGUCGAAAUGGCGCAACAAGCAUGGGGCUAGCUCCAGCAGUUUGUGAAGGACGCUGGGAAGUUUGCCAGAGCACAUGUCCUCAGCAUGGUGCGCGCUCACUACCCCUGGUCGAUCUGUCCUGGCUGGAGAGGGGAUACCCAAAGGAGGUUGGUCCGAAGGAGGCAGAUGACCUUCCCGUCAGCCUGCUCGACCUGUCGUCGACAGUAAUCGGCGACAUCAACCUCUAUAGGACGUCAACUCCCCCUGAUCAGCCAGGGUCAGACAGGUCGGCCCGAGAGUUGUCGGGGGCGUCGAUUGCAGUAGAUGGGCGGUCGACACCUGCGGUCUCGACCAGCCAGGCACCGGUGGCCCCGACCGCUUCGACGGCACCAGAGGCCCACGCAGGCGAGCGACUUGAGCAGUAGGCUCUAGUAUAGUCUGUAGAGAUAGACUAGAAACCACCCAGAGGGGUGUUUACUGUAAAAUUUGUUUAUUAAGUUUGUAAUAAAGUCUGAUUUUAAGAACCAUGGUUUUGAGCGUUGCAAAUAAGUUGUCUUAGUGAUGUAUCAUUGCAUAUGUCGGGUACCCUUGAUUGAUUUCGUUGUGUGACGUGUCAAAGACGGAUGUUGCUGUACUUGUCGAGUACUCUGCAUAUAUAGAAAUAUAUGGCGAAAGAAAAACAAAUUUUAUUAUUAUUCAUCAGAAAAAAGAUACAAGUAAGAUGUACUGAAACUUAGGGGCAGAAACGCCGUAGUUUGUCUAUGUGCCAGGUGUUAGGGAGACUUGUCCCGUCUGGGUAAGCCAGUCUGUAGGAGGUGGGACGCGUGACUUCGGCGACCACAAAAGCUCCCUCCCAGGGCGUAGAUAGCUUAUGCAUUCCUUCGUGGCUUGUUUUCCAUUUGAGUACCAGAUCACCGACCACGAAGGAGCGAUCCUUGACGUUCUUGUUGUAGUAUCGUCUCAUGGCUUCAUGGAACUUUGCUGUUCGAAGGUAGGAGGCCAACCAUUUCUCUUGUGUGCAAUUAAUUUCAAGUUCUCUGGCGUGGUCUACUGAAGACUGGUUGAAGUGCUUGACUCUUGGGGAUCCAAAAGCUACGUCAGAGGGAAGCACAACCUCAGCCCCAUAAACCAUGAAAUAGGGGGAUACACCCGUGUUCCGACUAGGCUGUGUUCGGAGAUCCCAGACCAUCGCUGGUAAUUCUUUCAUCCACCACCCCGGUGCCCUGUCAUUUUCCAUGUACAGCCUCUUCUUUAGUGCAUUUAUAAUCAUCCCAUUGGCUCGCUCCACUUGACCGUUGGCUCGGGGAUGGGCUGCCGACACGUAUUUUACGACUAUGCCUCUGUCAUCACAGAAAUCCCAGAAUGUAGUGCUGGUGAACUGAGUGCCCAGGACGGUGAUUAUACUGUUGGGAACUCCGAAUCUAUGUAUGAUUUGAUUGAGGAAUUCUACAGCCAUCUCUGAAGUUGCUUUGACCAGUGGCAUGUACUCGAUCCACUUGGAGAACAUGUCGAUCCACAGAAACACAAAUUUGAAAUUGCCUAGAGCGUGUUUGAAUGGCCCAAUCAUGUCAAGGCCCCAGUAGGCGAAUGGCCAAGAUGACGGUAUUGUCUAGAUCUCACGAGUAGGUACGUGAGUCCUUUUGGUGAAGAACUGACACCCCUCACAACACCGAACCAGCUUCUCAGCAUCAGCUACUGCGGUUGGCCAGUAAAAACCUGCUCAGAAAGCUUUUCCGACCAGUGUUCUAGAAGCGGUGUGGUUGCCACAGGAUCCAGCGUGUAUGUCAUCUAGCAGCUUGAUGCCAUAUUCUUGAGUUAUGCAUUUCAACAAGACUUCUGAGUUUGCAUUUUUUCGCAUGAGUCUGCCGUCAACCAUUAUAUAGUUUUUGGAUCAUCGGAUGAGACGAUCGUUCUCCAUCUUGUCUUGAAAUCCUGAACCGUCCGAGAGGUACUUAACGAAAGGUGUGCGCCAGUCGUUGCCGCUGGUUGUCGAGGUGGCAUCCUGGACGAGCAGUGUCUCGUUGUGUGGCUUGCCGACUGUUGACACUAGCUAACACCACUUGAAUGCUAGGUUGUCAUCCCUAGCAUGGUGCCAGAGUGUACAAAGGUAUUUAUGAAUAUGGAGACUCUCUAGAAAAUAAUUUAUUCUAUCUGCAAGCGCAUAUAUAAAAUACCUCAUUGUAGCAUUUCACCAGGAAAGUAUUCCAGGUAUCGUUAUUUAUAAUUUUGCCUAAGAGAACAAUAGGAAAAAUGAAGAUAAGGAUAUAAUCUAUCCAGGCAUAGACUAGAGAUAAACUUGCAAGAACAUGAUUACUAAUGAGGAACUCGUCACACAGUCACUUACUUUGGCAGAGGGUAAGCCAUAAUAAUAAUGAUAAUGAAAUAUAAGCUCAUGGGUAAUUAACACAGCGAUUAGAAAAUAGACUACUCCUCAUAUAUGUAAGGUGACAUCGGAUUAGCUAGAGAAUGGAUUCUAAGUUAUCUACUAUCUACUAAGUCACAAUCUACUCUAGUUAUCUACAAGAUCAUAUAUAGCAUAAAAGACUCUUCAUUCAUGUAUACGGAACAUUGCUAAAGUAAAUCAGAGCAUCGCAAGACUUACUCCGCAAUACAAAUUCUGCCUGUCCUAUCAACGGAGGGUGGACUAUAUAAGAAUCAAUGAAGCUGUCACUAUCAUGAACUACCACACAACCCGGCCAAUAGGAUACAUUUGCAGGUAAAUAACAUCUAAGCACCAUGCCCACAUGUGAUCUACCACUUAACUACCACAUGUCAAGAGCUAAGCGCUUUGCAAACUUAUCCAUAAACUCAUUAUCAAUCAUAACUAUAUCUAAUAUAGAACUAGAGCAAACUAAGAGCAUAAUAAAUAGAGACAUAAUGCAAUUAGAACAAAGUAGUAGAGAAAGAUAUGAAAUAAUACCAAUCUUUAUUAACAAAGAUCCGAAUCCAGAGCGUAGUGCUCUACUUCUCUAAUUCUAUCUAAUCAAUCCUCUAAACAUGAAGGAUUAGGGAGUAGCUAAUUCUAAUUCUCUAUGGGAGAGAAGUCCUAAAACCCUAACUUUGAUGGCUACCUCUGAUAAUGAUUUCUCCUCUCUCUCCCCCUGGGGUGGAGAGGCCUUGAUUAUAUAGUCCUUUCAAGUGAAUUUGGGCCGUCGGAUCAAACCGACAUUGAUCGCACGGUUUUCCUUGAUCCUUUAGGUCGGUGGAGCAUAAUCCGCGAGGUUGGAUGUGAUUGGCCCUGAGGCUAGGGCGGGCGCCCUGCCCCCGAGCCCGUCCGGUCUCCCGUUCGUUCCUGUGGCUUCUGAACUCUUCUAGAUUAAGGAAAAUUGCGUGGCACGUAAUUAUCUGGUUGUAAACAUGACAUGUGGGCCUUCUCUCCAUAUUUUCUGAUAACCCCCUGCAGAAAUAGAUAAACACCAAAGCUCGUGGAAUUCUAUCAGAUAAAACCCGAAUUCUAGAUGUUUGGUGCAUAUUGAUCCUUUUCCAUGUUUAGUUGAUGGUUAAAUUUAGUACAUAAGGACUGUCAACAAACUCCCCCAAGCUUAGCCUUUGCUCAUCCGUGAGCAAACAGCUAAACUCAGAUGGAUCUGAAGUUGCUUCGAUGUUUUCUUUCCUGACAGGCACACAUGCUUUCAUAUAAAAUUCUUCUAGAUUAGAGUGAAGUGUUAUGGAGCUUAGUACCUGCACUCAAGUCUUAAGUAAUCGACAGACAAAAUAAUUAAGUCAAGCACUAUUCCUCCUGUCUAUACUUCACCUUUGUUCUAAAGUUUUGCAUAAGUUUUCAAAAAUAAAACUCAGAGUUCCCAGCAAUGAUUCUCUCAAGUCUCUCUGUAUGUGGUAUUUGUGGAUCCUUACCCAGCUCAUAGAUAUGUUGUCUAAUCGAGCCAUGGAUCCAAAAGAAUUCAGCAUAUAAUUAAAUCAAGAUGUGCAUGUGUGGGGGAGUGAUGAUAGUAAUGUAUAAGUGAUGAUAAAACUUACUUCUCAUUGCUCCUCAUAUUGCUAUCUCUCCUCUUCUUUAAUCUUUGCUUUGGGAGAACAUGGGUUAUCUUUCCUUCUCUUUUUUUCAGGUGGGUAGUAGAUACCCCUAAUUCUACCGUCGGACACUUGUCCAUUUUUUCCGCUCAAGUGGGUAUCUUUGUACCCUAAUUCUACUCUGGACACUUGUCCAUUUUUACCUCUCGUCUCACACUUUUUCUUUCUUUUUCGAGGUUCCGGGCACUUGCCCCUUUUUAUUUCCUCGCAUAUUUUUGCAUAACCCAUGCCUCUUCUGCAUUGAAUCUUUUUAGAGAUAGAGAAUAACAACAUUUGGGACACUGAUGGAUAAUAAUAUUUUUUAGCAAUUUUAAGGUAUGGUGGUGGAUGGUGUAGUAGAUGUGU
rnacentral:lncRNA from 1 species